AGAAAAAGGCCCCGGUCAUUGGCGCCAUCGAAUAAUCUAAAACGUCCAUUUUCCAAAAUCAACGGUUCUCAUCACUCGGCAAAUUCGUUUUCCAUUUUCCAAUUACUUUUUCCCCUUCUCUCUCUGUCUCUCUCUCUCUCUCUCUAGUCUUUAGCUCUACCUCUUCAGUGGUUUUUAAUCACAUCAUCAUAAACCCUAGCCUCCAUCUUUCUCUCUCUUUCUUUCUCUUCCGAAGCCGGGAUUCACGUGAAACUCAGUCUCUCUAUUCUCUACCCUGAGCUCCUCUCUCUCUCUCUCUCUCUCUCUUCAUUUCUAGUUGUAGAGAGACGACCNCUCUCUCUCUCUCUCUCUCUCUUCAUUUCUAGUUGUAGAGAGAGACCCAUCUUCUUUUCCUCUUUCUCUUGGUAAAGAACAGAGGCCGUGGGUUUUUUUUUUCCCUUGUUGUAUUAAUUUUUGGAGUUGAUCGAUCUUUUUCUGUACGACGUUGUCUUAUUUUUCUCUUAUUGUUUACUCUCACUACUACGUUGUAAUUUUCUACACUAGUUUCCUUUUUUUUUUCCUUUAAAAAAACGAAACAACAACAUUUCUAUAGCUGAGUCAGAACUGUCCGAGUUAUUCUGAAUUGUAGGUUUGGUUUUUGUAUAAAUAUCGUUGAGUUAUCCGUCUAGAUCCGCUUCCUAAAUGAAGGGUCGUUUCUCGAUUCUGUUUCUGGACACGUUUCUUUGGGUUCACGGGGUGGUUUGUUGAGUGGGGCUUUUCGGGGCUGGUUUGUUGUCUCGACUGAGUCAGCUAGGUGGUUGGUGUGUCUAAACUGAGUCAACUCGGAGCGUACUUACUGAGUCAACUCGGGGGUUAGGGAAUUGGUAUUAGGAAAGAUCGAGCGAGGUGUUAGGUGUAGGCAGAUUAACCUAACGGCGAUGCCUUCGGUGGGGAUGAGGCGGACAACAAGGGUAUUCAGGAUGGUGAAGAGCUCGGAGGUAGCCCGGGUUCUUCGUUCUGGGCGGCGACUCUGGCCGGAUUCUGGUGAGGCCAAGCCCAAGAGGCUUGCUAAUGAAGGUGAUGAAAACUACAACUUGAUGAAAAAGGCCCCGAAGAGUGAAGUAAACGGUGUUGCUGCUGAGGUAAGUGGGAGGCCCAAAAGAUUAGGCAACGAAGAGAAUCCAAGGAAACAAUCCAGGAAAAUGAAAGCUGGAGCCUUAAACACUAGUGGGAGUGUAGAUAAGAUGUUUGGGAUUGUGUAUACUAGAAAAAGGAAGAGAAAUGGGGUUCAAAAUGGACAUCUUUCAGGGAAUUCGGAGCAGGGAAAUUAUGGGAAAAAGAUUUCCAGAAGGCAGGCCAUUGAGAAUAGGAACACCAACGAGGAUGUUGAAGAGCCUAAAAUGUUUUCUUUUGUUGUGGAAAAUGGGGAUUGUAAUGGCUGUUUUUCCAAUUUUUUGAUUUUGGUUUUGGGUUAUGUGAAAAGGGCAGAAGUAAGGUUGUCUGAGCUUGCUGCCUUUUUGAUGUCUCAGCCAAUAUCUAGUGUUUACUCUUCAAAUGGUGUUAAUUUCUUCUGGGUAAGUACCUUUUUUCCUUUUGCCAUGCAAAAAACUGGCACUUUUUUUCCCUUAAUUAUAAGUGGUAAUAGUAUAUAUAUUUUGAAGGAGAAUUAAUUAGUUAUGUGGAAAACGAAGUUAACUUUCUUUUUUUAUUACCUAGUAUGUUAAAAAUGCCCCCUUUAGUACUGUUAUGAGCAUUUUAUUUAUGGGGUUCUUUUAUACAAUUUCUUUCAGGGACCUCGAAAUAGAACUGGAAUAUGCAAGUUUUUUGGGGCCAAAGACUCUAUUCCGUUGUUUUCUUUGGAUUUUUCUGCAGUUCCCCGUUAUUUUCUGUAUAUGCAUUAUAGUAAGGUUCUUAGAUUGAAGCGUAUACAAAUAGUUCCUGUAAAUAGUGAUGAAAUAGUGAGCGACAGUGAAGAAGAUGAACCAUGUGUAACUUCCGUUGUAGAUGUUUGCAAGAGUACGAGUGGAAAUGCUGCAGUUGAGAUUGAUAAUCUUGGGAGCAAAGUUGUUUUGCAUCCAUCUGUUAGAGCUUCCAAACUAACAGGUCGAAAUGCUCAAUGUAGAAAUGGUCUGAGUUCUCGCAGUAUUCAGAAGAGGAGGAGUUCGCUGAGGAGAAGGAGAGCUAGAAAUCCUUCUAUUGUUGGUAUACACAAGGCUAAUGGUGCUCUAAUGUCUGAUUUGAUCAGUAGUAGGAGAAAUGGCAUUCCAUUUUCUUCUGUAGUUUCUAAAAACAAGCUUAGGAGUUCAGUACGCAAUAGUUCUGUGGCAAACGUAAGUGAUGUGGGCUCUUCCAUAUCGGAUUUAAUGCAAAAUGUAGACUCAUCACAGUGCUCUGCCAACAUAUUGGUCAUUGAAGCUGACAGAUGUUACAGGGAAGAAGGAGCAAUUGUCACUUUAGAGCUCUCUGCAUCACGAGAAUGGCUUCUUGUAGUAAAAAAAGGUAGUUCAACUAAGUUUGCAUGCAAGGCAGAUAAAUUUAUGAGGCCUAGUUCUUGCAACCGUUUCACUCAUGCUAUAAUUUGGACUGGGGAUGAUAAUUGGAAGCUUGAGUUUCCAAAUCGGCAGGACUGGAUUAUUUUCAAGGAUCUUUACAAGGAAUGUUCUGAGCGCAAUGUGCCUGCUUCAACUGUUAAGGCCAUCCCUGUGCCUGGGGUUCAUGAAGUUCCAGGGUAUGAGGAUAGACGCAGUGUGCCGUUUUGCAGACCAGAUUUCUAUAUCUCUUUAGAUGGUGAUGAGGUAUCUAGAGCCUUGACAAAGAGGACGGCAAAUUAUGACAUGGACUCAGAAGAUGAGGAAUGGUUAAAGAAGUUCAAUAAUGAGUUUUUUUCUGGAAAUGGUCAUUGUGAGCAUCUUUCAGAGGAUUGUUUUGAGCUAAUGGUUGAUGCUUUUGAGAAGGCCUAUUUCUGUAGUCCAGAUGAUUACUCUAAUGAGAAUGCUGCUGCUCAUCUCUGUCUUGAUCUGGGUACUAGAGGACUGGUUGAAGCUGUUCAUACUUACUGGUUGAGAAAAAGGAAGCAGAGACGAUCAGCACUGCUUAGGGUUUUCCAGGUAAAAGUAGUAUUAUGUCUUAAAUUUAUCAUUUCAUCUUUGCAAUAUUUCCUUUCUGUUUUUCUGGUGUAUGAUUGCCUUGUAGGAGUUCUUCACACUUUAUGGAAUUGGAUGUUGCUGCAAAAUUUCUUUAUGGAAAUACGUCUCAUUGUAGAUUCAUUUGGGAAAUUAGCACUCACUUAGUUGUAUUAUAAUAUCAUUGUACGCCACUUUUUUUUGAUAAAUAAAGAAAUUUCUAGCUCUUGUUCCAAGUGCACUUGUUCCUCACAAUUUCCAGUGAAGUUUAGACAUGGAAGGAUAUUCGCCUUCAGAAGGGUUUUCCCCCUUACAUUGUUUGAUUCCUCCAUAUUUUGUCAAGCAAUGAGUUCAUGAAAUUGUAUUUCCAAGGUCAAAAGUGAUCUUUUGCUAUAGCAGUUGCAUUGAUUGCUUGCAGUAAAUUACACAUCCAAAGUGAUUUAAUACUAGAUUCGAGUUAAGACACAUUCAUAUAUAUAUAUAUUUAUAUAUAUAUAAAAUUUGCAGCAAAAUUAACAGGGUGUGAAGGAAAUUUCAUAACUAUUUUUUCCUCAAUUGAAGUUUAAUUAAUCUGAGGCCUACAAUUUUGAAUCAACCUUCUUGCAUGUUGGAUGAAUACAAGGCACCCAAGUGUACUUGCCUUUAACUUUCUUUUAUGGUCUGUUCAUCAGAUUAGUUCUUUGAGAAUUUGGAACUUUUCUUCUAUCAUGUGAUUAUGUUUACACUGCGCCAUAGGUGCCAUGAUAUUGAAAAAUCAAACAUUGUGAUCAUGUUAUAUACCUUUGUCAUCCAAGGAAUGUAUUGAAUUCCAAAUAUUUACACUGCCGUAUUGAAGUCCUUGCUCUGCCUUCUGGUGUUUUUGUGCACAACUAGACCAAUCCAAGCAACUGCUAACAUGGAAUAUACUUGACUCUUGUAGAUAUCUGACCAAAAUUAAUGUUCCAUUCUAACAGGGUCAUCAGGUCAAGAAAGCUCCUCUAGUUCCAAAGCCUUUUCUACGUAAAAGGAGGUCAUUUAAACGUCAGGCCAGCCAUGGAAGAGGCAAGCAACCAUAUUUGUUGCAAGGUAUGUUAAAUUUUCUGAUAAUAGUAGCCAUGCUAAAUUUUUGAGGUUUUGAGUCUGAUUUUGAUGUAUGAUUAUGUUUCUGCAUGCCUGUGAUGAUGUCUAUGUGAUAAAUUACACGUUUCUAUUAGGUAAUGGGUCAGGCAGUGGCAUUAAUACAUAGAUUUGUUUAUUCAUGAGAAUUGCUGUUGUGCUAAUAAAUUUGAUGGAUGUAUGUUCCCUCUUUAGCUUUGUUUGUGGUAGGACCUAGUUUCGGUUUGUUUCCUAUUUCAACACUUCCUAUUUUGUCUAUUUGUAUGUGUUCAUGUUUCUUUUGUAUUGUUUUCUGUAGGACCUCGUUUCAGAUACAAUGCUGAAACUUCUAUAAUUUGUAAUUGUGCAGCAUUGGCAGCUGAACGAGAUUCCAUGGCUGAACAGAACGCCAUGCUUAAACUUGAAGAAGCUAGAGUCUCAGCAAGCAGAUCUGUUGAGUUGGCUGUCCUCAAACGCCAACGCACACAGUUACUAAUGGAAAAUGCGGAUUUGGCAACUUACAAAGCCAUGAUGGCACUUAGAAUUGCUGAAGCUGCUCGAUUUACUGAAUCUUCAGAUGUUGCCGUUGCUCAUUUUUUUGAUUUAUGAGAUAUUGGUACUCGUAGCUUAAGUGGGAUGUUUGCCGGAAUCUGGGUUAUUUAUUUCCUGGGAAAUCACAAGCUGCAUAGCUGUUUUUGAAGCCCAGGGACAGGGAAGACGACUUUGGAAAAGGGUACUGUAAUAUUGUAUAGCUUUAAAUAGAAUGUACAUUCUGUAUUGUUGUAACAUCACACCAAAAUUUUUUGCCAGGUAAUUUGGUAGAGAAAUCUGAAAGGAAGAAUUACAGGAAAUUUUGAGUCUUUGAUCAAGAUAUUAAAAUGUUUUAUCUGCUACCACACCUUUGAUGCAUUGUGCAUUUGUGUGUAGGGAUGUUAAUGUUUUGAUAUAAGAGUAUUCAUGGCAUGGGUAGGGUGCGGGUAUUUUAUAUUCGGUUAUUAGGUAGAUUUGAGUAAUGAUUUUAAUAUAUGAUUUGGAUUAGGUUUUGGUAACACUUUUAUGUUAUUUUAAACUCAAAUCAAAUUGGAUUAUACAUAUACAUACAUAUGUAUAACAUUAAUCCAAUGUUUCAAAAAUUUUGUAAUUUGUAAGAUACAAAUAUUUUUCCUUUUAUUUUAAACACAACUUUUAGCCAUUUUAAUCAAUUCUUAAAACUUUAUAAAUAUAAAAUUAAUUUUUUAUAUGAUUAUUAAUUAUUGAAAUUAUUUGAGUUAUAUAAUUUUGGGUAUUUAACGAAUUUGAGUAACGAAUUUAAUUUUUCUUAUAAGCAUUUUUAAUUAGUAUGCAAACAUAGUUCACUAACUUCUGCACUAAUAAUGUUUUUAAAUAACAUGCGAUUAAACAUGAUCAUUGUGGCCCCCAAAGUCAAAAGAUAUGAAAUAUUGAAAAUGCCCUUCACUUAUCACAGUUUGUUGAGGUUACUCGAAGUCAAAGUGUGACGUAUAAUACUUCAUGGAAUUGGGUCUGCUUGACACCUGUAAAAGCUCAGCAUGAGUUUGCAUCUCGAUCGUCCAUCUAAAUUCAUUCGAAUUAAAUUUAUAUUUUUGAUUUAUAUAAUAAUAUCUCAAUUUAAAAUAUUUUGUUUAGGCCUCGAUUUAAGCUUGUGAGUCACUUGUGUGUGAUGAUUCUGAAGAUGUUUUUUAUUUUUAAUUAAUAUUAUUAUUUUUAUCUCUAUUUCCACUUUUUAAAUUUUUUUUAAUCUUGUGGUAUGAUGCCAGCCACGUUAGGAGCCAAUUAAUAAGUUUUGCUUGAUUCACGCUUUGGUUUGACUUUGGAUUAUUGCUUUUAUUGUUAAAUUCAGUUGAAGUUAUCCCACUCCCACGUCAAAAGCCUGUACGUGGUACAGAAGAUGGCAACUUCUUUCUUAAUAUAAAAAUAAUACAUUGUCAAUUAUAAUAUUUAUUUAAAAUAAAAUAUUAAAAUAUUUUUUAUAUUAUUCUAUGAAUAAAAUAUUAUGUCUAUUUUAGGCUUAAGUCUUCAAAGGUGUUGGCUCCAUUGGACCUCGGUCUAGCUCAUGGACAACUCUUUUAUCAGCAUCUUUGGUUAGCAAAAGAAUUGGUGGCAAAUUAUAUUGUUAAUUAAAUUGAAUUUUUUAUAUAUUAUUUAACAAAUUUAAAUUGAUCUUACAAAUUAAAGUUGUCGACUUUUUUUCUUUGGAUGUUUUUUUUGUGGUCAUGACCUGAUUUCAUAUAUUGCAAUUUAGGUUGGGUUAGCACAUUGCUAUUUAUUUACUUAUUGUACCCACCAAUCAUCACUUACAAACCCUUAAAAGCAACAAGCUUGUCACAAGUAUAAAGCCACGAAACUUAAUGAAAUUCAAUGAGUAAAUUCCAUCAAGAGUCUCAAAAUUUUAUCAUAAUUUAAUUUAAAUCUAUUAGAUUUGAAAAUAAACAUCUUGUCCCAAAAUCACAAACGACCUUCGCAGAGUUGGUUCAAUUACUAAACUACCAUGAACUAAAACAUAAAAGCUCGUUUCUUGCAAUAGAGUCUUUGAGGUCAGCCUAAUUUGGUGUGUUAAUCUCACACUCUUUCUUCUUCAUAUAUAACCAAACCCUCGGUGCAUCUUCCAAUGAACAAGGAUUGUUUUUAGUUUCUGGCUUUCUUAAAUCAGUUUAAGCAACGUCAGUCAAGACGUAUUGUAGGAAAGUUAUCACCUUUGUUACAUUAGCAACUGUAAUGGUUUGGUGGUUGGUAGUUCAUCGGAAGGGAAAAGCCUGAGAAAAGUAGAAAAGCUUUGAAGAUGUCAUUUUGCAUUAGAAAUCAAACAACCGUUUCAUUUGCAUUGGUAAGUGAAAUUCUAAUAAAAUGUAAUUUGGAUUUUUUUAAACCCUACUUGCAAGAUUUUUUUUUUCUGACUUUGCAAAGAGAACCAUUUCAUUGCAAAAGAAUUUACAUGCUUUUAUAACAAGAAAAUUUUGUUGAAACAGCAGUUGAUGGCGAGUUUAAAGUUAUAUGACUUGGUGGUCCACUUUUAACUCGAAUCGAAAAGUUAUCGAAAAUGUUGAUCUUGAUAAGUACUCCUUCAAGUUAACAAACGUUGCAACUACUAUAGAUGAUUCCAAUACUAGCAUGGAAAUGACAAUAGCAAUUCAAGGGCGGUAUCCAAACUCGAAAGAAUUCUUAGAGUUGAAAAAUGAUGUUGAAGUACUUCACUUGUUCCAAACGUGUGAAGGUUCAAAGAAAAUCCAGCUACAAUUCCUCUUGAAACAAUGUUCAAGUCUUCCUCAAAAGGCAGUUAUUCUUCAACACAAGCUUAUGAAAUUGGUUUUGUUAAUGAUACUAUUAAUAAGUUAGACUCUUUGCAAGAUGGUGGGAAUGGUAGUGUGAGAGGAAAUGAAAAAAUGGACUAUAGCAAGUCAAAUGUAGAUGUAUGUGUUGGUAGUUCAUACAUUGUUAGAGUUGAUUAUGACAAUCUAAUGGCUAAAAGUUUAUAUUGCAAUCGAUUUGAAAUGGGCUGUGCUGAGAACGAACAAUAUGAUUUUACUAGUGAUGAUGUUAACUAGAUGGUUGAGAGUUACGAUCAAUUUUUUUUUUUUUAUAAUUGAGGGAAAGAGAUUCAAACCCUGCUCUUUACAGAGGGGAUUAUACACCAAUUAAUCAACCAAAUACUUGGAUGUAAAGUUAUGAUGAACAUAGUGAAUUAGCUAGUAUUGACAAUCUUGAGGGUGAGGAUAUAAUGGUGCUUGAUCAUAAUGAUGAAUGUCAUCUUGAAAGUGAUAUUGAAAGGAAUUAUGGAAGUUCUAGUAUAGAUAGGGAAGGGUAUGACUAUUAAUAUGACUUCGAUCAGAAUACUUGAUGAACUUGAUGAGUUUGGAAAAGUAAGAUUUGAGGACUUGGUGUUUAACAAUGUGGAUCACUUUGGGAAAGUCCUUUUCACUAUGUAAAUAAAAAAAGGGUAGAGAUAAUUAGGGUUAAAAAUGAUAAGAUUAGGCUUGCAACAUAUAUAAGGGAAAUGGUUGCAAUUAAAAAUCCAUGCAUCUGUUAUUAUUGAUGGAAAAACAUUUAAGAUUAAGAUAUAUGACGGUGAGCUCACUUGCAUACAAGUCAACAAUAACUAUGUUGUUGCAUCUAGUACUUGGUAGCAAAAACUUGGCUCUAAGUUGCAUGUUGAGUUAGAUAAGUCAGUCAUAUUACAUUAUGCAACGAAAAUUUAAAACUUCUCCCUUAAGCAAAAUAAAACUUUGGAUUUAUCAUGGAUUAGUCUUAAUUAGAGGAUAAAGGCAACCAUGUCCUAAAUCCUUAGAGUCGAAAUUACAAGGUUUCGACAUAGUUUAAUCCUCUUGCACCAAGCUGGGUUGUAACAAACCAUAAGCUAUCUAAGUGUAUGACCUCUAAUGGUGAUCCACAUGAAUGACAACUAUGAAUAGCUCUAAUGGAGAGUAGGGUUGCUUUUACUUGUAAAGCUUAAUGCUAGCUAGGGAAAUGGCAAUAAGUACUUUUUUUAACCAAAAGAAACCAAAACACAAUCAAGAACUCCAAAGUUCAUUAGUCAGUGGCAAAAUGGAUUAGGUGCGAUCCACAAGGUUUCUUCUCCUUAGCCAAUCCACAGGAUUUCAAACAACCAUUAUUUAAACCUUAAUUAAUAGACAAUAGUACAUGAGUCUUAGUCAACAAAAGAAGAAAAGAAAUGCCUAAUAGUUUGAGAAUGAUGAUCGACGACUCAUAUGGCUCAAAGAUAGCUAGGCCUAUUCUCAAGGACAGGAACUCGUUCUAAUUUUCCUCACAAGCCUCUUAGGGUUUUAUGGAUGAUUUCUAGUAGUUUAGUAGUUCUGGUCAUACCCAUCAAAGUAUAGCAUAAGCCUCAUAUUUAUAGGCAAUUAAUUAGUUCUAAAGCCUACAGGACUAUGCUUAACCAUUUUGCUAAUUGUAUAAUUGCCUUAAGACUAAUUAAACUUUCAAUUAAGUCUUUGAAGUUCUUUACUUUUUUUUUUUUGAUAAGCUAGUUCUUGACUUCUUUUAAUUAAGUUCAACUUAAUUUAACCACUAUUUAGAGUCUUAAUGGACAUUUUUAAUGUGUGUGUCCUAGUAGGUUGUUAACAUGUUGGCAUAUAAUCUAAGGUGAGCUAGGAUUAAAUGAACCAAACCCUUUGGAUUCAUCAUCAAUUCCUAAACUAAUUAGUUCACAUUUAUAAGUCAAAAUUGACAUCUAGUAAUGCUUCAUGACUACCUUAAUGUUAAAAAGAGUCAUACUUGUUUGGCUCAACUUUUUGUACAUAGUUUUGUAGUGUAAUUAAUAUCCCAGCAAGAGUUAGAGUAUGGUGCAAUGUUUACUAUAAUUUUGUCUUUACAUUUUAGAACAUGAUCCUAGUAAUUGAACUCAUCUUGAGACUGUGAACAAACCAUUUGUCAACAUCUUGAAUUGCAUAGACUUAGGGCUUUGAUGAGUCAUUACUUAUCACGUUACAAUGGGAUAUUCUCUUUAUUUUCACUUAAGGUGAUGAAUUGUCUAUGGUCAAAUUAUACUUUUAGUACUUGUACUUUAUAAAAUAUGUAAAAAUAGUCCAUGUACAAUAAUUUAUGUAAAUUGAGUCUCUGUACUUUACAAAUUUGUUAAUAUAAGUCCAAAUACUAACAUGAUUCAAAUUCUAAUGUUAAAUGUGUUGAUAUAACAUUUUGCUGGGAUUCGAUCUCAUGCUCAAAUAUGAAAAUAAUCAAUAAAUUAAAAAUAUAACACAGCGAAAAAAUAAACUAGCAUUUAAUCAGAGAAACAGUUGAAUCCUACAGGAUCAAUGUUUGUGUUUUUCAUGUAACUUUCAAAUUAAUUAUGAACACUCAUAAGUUUAAGAGUUACAUAUCUUUCUCUAGAUAUCGUAAUCAAGAGCCAAUUAAAUCAAAAUCUUUGCUUCUUCACCUUUAGGAUUUGCCAAAUCUUUAGCCAUCCAAGUGUUUGGCCUUUAACAGUAAUUCACACAGUGACCGAAUAAAAACUUCUCAAAGGUAAGAUUUUACUUGUGCUAGCAAGUUUUGUUUCUAAAAAAAAAGACCAAAAUUCUUGCCGAAUUUUAUUUUUGUUAGACAAAGAAAACUAUUUUUCUUUUCUUAUUUUAUGAAAUAGCUGAGAAGUGGUUGGAGGCUUAGAGUUUUAGUUUGCUAACAUAACAUAUUUAUAUAGCCAAACUAAUUUGUAACCUUAAAUACAACAGUUGUAUUUUAAUUUAAUUAAGUCUUUGUGAACGUAAUUAAUUUUUCACUUUAUUUUGAUCUUUUUCAAUUAAGUCCAAAUUAAUUAAUUAUCCUUAUUUAAUCCCAAUCAUGUCACUUAAUGUGUGUGACCCAUUAGGCUUCUAACAUGUUGGCAAUAAAUAUAAAUCUUAAUCAAAUAUCAAUUUGAUAAUUGAUUUAUAUUUACAGAUCAUGAGUGACAUCUAGCAAUACAUCAUGACCACCAAAAUGUUAGAGAGUGAAUUAAAGAAUUUGAUAAACCCUUUCAGUGAUAAGCCUCUCAAUGCAAUAUGGUUCUUUUAUCAAAUAUCCUGGAUAUGUCAUUAAGCAUGUCUCAGUGUCGACUUAUGACAUUCCAUUUUAGUUCUCAUAAUUCAUGACUAACCUUAUGAAUUUAAGAAACUAACUUUUCUCAAAUUCAUCGUGCUUUGGUCAAAGACUUUAUACAAGUUAAUCAAGAAUUGAGAACAAAUGAGAUACAUCCCUUUGUAUCACUUGGGGUGAUGAAUCCUCUAUUGACCACUCAUUGACCUUUGCAUGCUUCAUGGCAUACCUAAAAACACCCUAUUUAGGCAUCUGGUCACCUUCAAACCCAUAAGGGUGAAAUCAAAGUAUGUCAUUCCCCAUAUAAAAUGAUCUGGUGUCUCAAGUCUAAGGACUAGUUGCACGACUAUCACAUGAGAAUAGAUUCCAUAAAAAUUUGAGUGAAAUACCAAAUGGAGUUCUCAUAGCAGGUCAUGUUCAGUGAACUUGUUCUUUAACAAGCACCUACAUAUUAUCCUCAAAUAUCCGAUAUACUUCAAUCUAUGAUAUCGAUUGCUUACUUCCCAAGUAAGGAGGCUUAACAUGUAUUACUCUUUGAGCAUUGUCAAUGCCCUAUCUUGGCAAUACAAUAACCAAGAACAAUUUUAGGAACGUGGCUUUAAUGCAUAGGGAUCUCAUAAUUGUAACAACUUUACAAUUCUCUAGCUAAGCUUUUAUGUUGCAUGGGCUUCAUCCAAUUAGUACUUAAUAAAUCCUUAUUAUUACACUAAUAUGAAAGAAAACCUCUAUCACAUAUAAUUAUGCAAUUAAAUAUGCAUUAAAUGACAAUAUAUAUUUUUUGACCAAUCCAAUUGGCUUAAGGGCAUAUACCAACACAUUUGACAUGUUGACAUGAUAUUGACCAUAUUGACGUGACAUUGACUAUGUGUUGACAUGACAAUAUUCCUUAAUUUGUUCUUUUUAAAACAUAAUAAGAACCACUAACAAAAGUAAAUAAUACAAAAUAAAAAGAAAGUUUUCAUUACUUCAAUAGUAGAUAAAAUCAUUAAAAUGAAGCUUCUUCUUCUUAAAAAAUUAGUUAAUCAUAUGAUCAAACUCACUCUGAAUUGGCUAAUCUAAAAUCUAUAACUAACGAAAAACGUAGACCUCAUUUUUAUUCCUAAUAAUUUACUCCAUCAUGAAAUCUCAAAAGCCAAGUGAUCUAAAAAAAAAAAAAAUUCACCAACAUGUGCGAGAUAUUGUUUCCCUCAGACAUUUACAAACAAAAUCACUUGACAUUGAAGUUUAAAAAGCUAAAAUUUUUACAGUCAAUGCUAAACAAUCUAGUCAAAAUUGUUUCUCUCCUUGUAUUGCUUACCUUUUUUUUAAUUUUUUUGAAUAUUUAUCUCUUUUUAUUACUUUGUUGAUGUGGCCAAACUCCCCACAUCAAUUAGAUGAAAUUUUCAAUCUAAAAAGCUUUAAGAGAAAUCACCAGAGUAGUAAGACGUCGUAUCUUUUUUUGACCUAGACAUAUUGCCUUCUCUUUCCCUCUCCUCUCAAAGCAUCCACAAAUAAAGCUUUCAAUUCCUUCUCACUUCUUAAACAGCUCUUCCUCAACCACCGCAAUUGUUGUAACAAAAUCCAAGUCUAGAAUUCCUUUUAGACCUCUCGAAGGACAUUUAUAAGAACUUGUUAUCAAUCCAAUGAGUGUCACGUCUGCAUGGUCAAUGUCAUGUUAACUUGAUCAAACACCACAUUAGUACACUUAACGGUGAAAUUUUAAAAAUGUUAAUAUUUAGACUGACAUUAAAAAAUUUGAAAGAUGUAGGGAUUCAUUUUAUACAAAUUAUUAUACAAGGACUAAAUACAUAUUUUUUAUAGAGUAUGAGGAUUAAUAACAUAAUUUGACCAUCCACUAUUGGUCCUUGACUUCCCUUCAUAUGUUUCGUGCUAAACCCUAUAUCUAUCCUUUUUUAACAUCCUUGGCUAGCACCACUUUAGGCAACAUCAAAGUAUAACACUUUACAUAUAAGUUAAUCACAUGAUCUCAAGUCUAAGAUCACUAGCCCAAUUGUGACAUGAGAAUUUAUUUCAUAGACACUUGAUAUAAUCUCAAGUCUAAGAUGAUUAUUGAUCCGAUUAUAUUGGUCUCAAGAUCUGCACAAAAAGAGGUUGGAAUAGUUUUUUUAUCCUUCAAAAAACUAAUAUUAUGUUUAAAUUUAAUUUUCUAAAUUUGAGAUCAAUCUUUUGUAGGGUGUGUGUUGACCUUGAAAAGUUUCUUUUCUUUUCCUUUUUUUUUUUUGAAAAUCCCUUUUUAAUAUUUUUAGCAUUAUUGAAUUUGAAUCUUUUUCUUGUUCAUGUCUAUGGAUAUUUUUGGUGGGAAUUUGUAAUUGUUUAAAAAUAUUCUCCUUUUCUUCUAGAAGAAAUUAGUAUUUCUUCUAUAAUCUGAAUUGUCACGACCUGGUACUCCUUUCGAGCCUGUAACAAUCGUCGCGCUGUCUCAAUAGACAUUCAUUACUCAAAAUGUUAACCGAAACCUCGCAAGGCUCUUGCAUCAAUUUUACGUCUCUCUUGUGAGCAAUAGUUACUAAAUAUCAUGUUUUAAGAGAAUAUAAACUAUUUUUAAAUAAAAAACAAACAAAAGUAAUUUCUGCCACAUAAGGGAAUUUUGGUCAUUUUUACUCGAAAAUUUUGAAACUUGGUGAAAAUACAACAUGCGAUCGAAAAAUAUACAUUUCUUAUCAAAAAAAUAAUUUUAGUAAUCUAAAUCAUCCAUUUAACAUAAGAUUUUGGCUAAUCAAACUAAAUAAAAAUAUUAAAUAAAAUAUUUCAUUUUCUUCUAAAACAAUAUUUAUAGAACUUUGCGUAAAUAAUUUUUGCAGCGUAAAAGCAAAAUAAAUUCAUACAUACAGUGGCACACACAGCCAGGUAUACAAAAUAUUCUACAAUGACAUGUGGACCCCAAAAUAACCGAAAACAUACAAGAUUGUAGAAUUUCAAUUUCUAAGGAUGCAAAUCCAAAAGCAACCCUUGACAAAAUCGACUGUCUACAGACUAUCCUGAGCCUGAAAUAGGUAAAAAAGAAGGGGUGAGUUUUUAUAAACCCAGUGAGUAAGCAAAUUUCAUCUAUAAUAUCUAAAAUCGAGUAAAUGGAGAUAAUUUAAAACAUCUCAGUAUAAUAUGAUUCAUAACAUCAAAUCUCAUUUCAACCCAUAUAAAUCAAUUACAUUUCAUCAAAAAUAAUCAAUAAGGCUUAUGAUUCUCUUAAAAAUUUAGCUUGUGCCAAAACUCAUACUCGGUGACAUCUUGGCCAAAGCAUCCAACCGAGUCCGCCAAGGCUGUUAAAAUAACAUAUGCACAUAAAACAAGUUUUUUACAUUUAAAACAUAGCCGUUCCUUGGCGUUGGCUAAGUUUCACCUUGACGUGGUGGUUCAGCGUGAAGUGAACUCUAACGUUACCUUAGGAGAUACCCUCUACGCCUCUCGUACCAAGAUAAAAUAUAACCGGAUUUACCGUGCCCCUCUAAUAGGCUGGUACACGGAAACCUGCCCACUACAGUAAGCUAAUCAAAUAACCCACCAAUUCAAUAAAAUUUUCGACAGCAUGACAUGGCUAAUAUAAUAUUACCAACCUAUCAAGGCAAAGCAAAACAGUUCAUAUAUUCCACACAAACACAAAUCUAGCCAUACUUGCCAUCACAUUGUCAUAAGCCAUCAAUUCAAACCAUAUGUCAAAACAUUUAUAUAACACAAGUAUAUAGUUUCCACUUACUGAAUUUCCAAAACCAGUAUUCAAUUUCAAAACAAGUUAUAAAUCACAUUUCGUUUAAUCAACAUUUCAAUUAUAAAACAUAAUAGUUUGUAAUUUAAAUUCAUUUUUCUUUAAAACAUAAAAACGAGAAUCAACUACUUUAGAUAAUUAAGAUAAAAGUCUGAUUACUCACAAUAACGGGAGUAUGGAGUACUCUUAUUCUUGAUCCUUGGGUACGAUAUCCUUACCCUUACCAGAGGACUCACCACUUAUACAUAAUACACGACAUGUAAUCCAAUAUAUUUAUACCAAACUGUUAUAAAACUAUUUCAGGCUCUUUAUGAAUGCAUGGAAUUGAAUGAGAAAUGUUCGGAUAGUCACUUAAAGACGGUGUUCUACGUAGGUUCAAUUGUGAUCGGAAUGAAUUUGUAUUCGACCUAAUUCGAACUAUACACCAUUGAUUUAACCAAAACAUUUGAUUCAACUUAAAAUAUUUUCAUUACACUCCCAAUAAUCUAAUAUACCAAAGCAUUACAAUGAACUUGAUUUUUGACUAACUUCACUAUUUUCCAAAAUUCAUUUCUAUUCCGAACUAACAUACUAAUGAAUGUCUACACAGUCUCAUAAAUCUAUAUAUAUAAUUAGGAAUCAAACCCAAAUCCAUUUACUAUGAUUUUCUCAGUUUCCAUGAAGCCAUUUUCUAAAGGAACUAUACUUUUCAAUAAUCGGUUUUGAUAUCCAACAUCAUAAUUCAUCAAUUCCUAACUAAAUAACAUGAAUUACAACCAAAUCCAUCAUUAACAUGCCAUAUAGAAAAUUCGGCCAAAUGAGGGUGGUUGAGGAACAUGUGAUUUUCUUGCUUAUUUUUCCUUCUAAACAUCACAAAAUGACUAAAAACACUAGGAUAUUAUGAAAUCUAGCACAAUUCAUCACCAAAACUUCUUUUUCUAGGUUUGGCCAGCAAAGGUUGCCUCUUGAAAACUUGAAUUUCAGCCAUGGAGAAUGAAAAAGAAUGCAUGGGAAUGGUAGAUCACAAGCUAAAAUUAAAAAAUCUUACCUUUACUUGCUUGAUUCCUUGAAAUCCAACAAUUUCUCUUGAAUUUUUCCUUCCUAGGGUUUGUUUUUCUCUUUUUCUCUUUGUUCCCUUGCUUGGCUGGCCAUAAGAGUGAAAUGGGAGAAGCUUAAGUCGGUUUAUAAAGGAAAAUCAAUAAAAUAUUAAAGCUUGACACAUGUCACCACUUGAUUGGUCCAUGAUUAAAAACUUAACCAUUAAGCAAUUUCUCACCACCACAUGUAAUCCCAUAAUUAUCCAAAGUAUAAAGUGAUAAUAGGUGAAAUUGAUGGGCUUGACAAGUGUCAUGGUGGUGUAAAAUUUCAAUUACGUCCUCAUGGACAUGUGAAAUGACCAUUUUGCCCUUAUACUCGAAAAAUGUCGGAAUUGAAAUUUUUUCACUCCACAAUUUCAAACUAUGCUCCAAAUAGUCAAACUUGGUCAAAAAUCUCGUCCAACAUUCCAAUUUUACCUUCGGUAGGCAAAAUGACCAUUUUCCCCUACGUUAUAAAAAUUCUCGACUAAACUCCAAAUCAAUCCUCAAACUCCAAAUCACCAUAUUAAAACAUUUUAAGGUUUAAUAACUCUCAAAUGAAUCUUAAAAUCUAUAUUUGGAGUAGUUCGAGGCUUUAAUCAACUUAAUUGUACCACUAGGUAGAAUACCAACUUUUAACGAUUUUUCGAGGCAUCUGUGUACUUGGAUGCAAACAUGCUAUCAAGUACAUGAAUGACAUGGCAAGUAUAUUAUAGAGUUGGGCUUGACAUGAAUUGUUUUUUUAUUUUAUAUAUCAUUUAGACUCUAUACAUUACGCGAGGAAAAUUAAGUGAUAGAAUUCUUUGGACAAAAGGUAUAUUGCUAGUUUGACGACAACGAUAUGGUAUUGGAAGUUUCAACUUUUGCAAAGUAAAUUUCUGGGAAAGGUAAGAUGGAUGAAGAGAAAAAAAAAAGAGUUAAGACCAUGGAGAUGGUGAAGGGAAUUUCAGAUCUUAGAUAAGAUGAAAGAAUUGAUAGAUUUUGUCAAGGAGGUGAAUAUUCCCAUAAAGACAAACAAGUGUGUGGACCACUUGGCUAAAACAGGCAUCUCAAGGUAGGGGCUAGUGGUCGCAUUGAUCUACAGAGGCAAGGAAGGUGAAACUGAAAGCUUGAUGGUUGACAAUGAUGAGGGGAGUUGUUUUCUUCUUUUGAUUGACGUUUCCCUUAGUGGUUGAUUUGUUGGAACAUUUUGUUGUGUUAUGGCUAUCCAAUAUGUGUUGUUUUUGCUUCUGGCUUGGUUAUUAUGAAGCUUGACUUCUGGUUGGUGGUUUCGGUUUGUGUGUUAGGAAUUUUAAGAAUAUGGUGCCCUAGAAAGCAAGUAUAUUCUCGUAUUUAAUUUCAUUAAAUUUAUUUGUAAUGAAAGUACAUUUUGAUAAUAAGAUGACGAGUUUGUUUUUAGUAAGCAUUCAUUAUCUAGUUAUUAAGGUACCAUGAUUCUGUUGAGAUAUUGAAAUACAUUUAUAUGAAGAAUCAUACAUAGGAGAUAUGUAUUUUAAUUGAAUCUAAAAAUUAUUCACAGCCAUAUAAUGAAGUUGGUCAAUUUAUUGUGUUAAGGUUGUAGUGUCCAGAUUACUUUCAAAGAAAUGAAUGUGAUUCACUUUAAGGGAAUGAUGAGUCUUAAAUCAUUGAAAUGGUUGACUUCAAGUAAUGACACUAUUACAUGAACUGGAAUCAUUUGAGAAUCAAAUUUAUGUUUAACCGUUACUUAAAUCUUGAUCUCACACUUAUGCAUUUACUUAUAAUAAAACUAAAAUCCUGAUGGAUUGUGGACUCGUGUUUAAUCUCCUUAUAAUCUUUGAUUUACCAUGAGCAUGAUUAUCAUAAAGCGUUGAUCUAAACUUCGUAUUUUGGGAUUAUAAUCGAGAUGAACAUCUAGGAACAUAUAUCCAAAUAAUGGAGCUCAUAGCAUUAACAUCACUUCUAGUGAUUUCAGGAAGAUUGGUGAUUAAUCAGGGCUAGUGGAUUGAUAAAUUAGCUACUUAUCACAUCUGGAUACUUAAAAGAUUAGAUCUAGAGUAUUGAAUCACUAAUUGGAUGAAAUAUGAGAUUAGGGGAUAAAAUUGACAUAAAAGGUAAAACGGUAAUUUCACCUUUUGUCAUUGGAUGGUUAUGAGGGUUCACAAUAUAGGUUUGCAAUUGGACAACAAAUAAUUAAUAUCAAGUAUUGAAUUAUUUCUUGUAAUUAUAGUUAAUCCAAGAGUACAACCAUGAAUCUAUGGUGGAGUGAUUUCAUGAUUAAUAAGCUUGAAUUAUUUUUAAUGAGAUUAAGAAUAAUUUUAAGCUUAUUGGAGCUUAGAAUAUCUAUGUCCAAAUAGAUUCCCCACUUAGCUUCGUAGAAUUCAACUUGUUUAAGUUGGAAUGCAUGUUUUAAUUUGAUUAAUUAAAUUGUGUACAAAAAUGGCAGUUUAACAUGUUUAUCUUAAUUUAGACAAGAAAACAUGUUUGGUCUUAAUUUAGGCAAGAAAUUAUGUUUUUCUUAAUUUAAAACAAGAAAAAUAUUUUUUGUCUUAUUCUAGACAAGAAAACAUAUUUGUCUCAAUUUGGACAAGAUAAAAUAUUGUUGUCUUAAUUAAAGACAAGAGUUGUCUUAAAUUAAGAUAAUGUUAGGAGGAUUCUUACAAAAUGAAUCUAGACAUCCAUGUUGAUAAAAUGAGACUCCAUGUUUGACUAUCACUCUUUUAUUUAUUAUUAAUUCUUUUUAAAUAAAUAUGAAUAAUAAUAAAUAUAAGAGUUAUUAUUCAAUAAGGAGUUUUAUUUUAUCAAGAACUCUAAAUGAUAAUUAAAGAAUUAAAUUAUUUAUUCUUGUAUUUUAAUUUUGAUAAUUAUGAAGUAUGUUUGAUGCUUCCAUAACUCUAAAUGGAUGGUCAAGAUUGAUUCAAAGGUGUUUCAUUUUGAUUAAACCUUUGAGGCCAGAGUUUUAAUAAAAAGAGAAGAGAUUGGAAGAAAAAAAUAGAACGUACUUUUUCUUCAAAAAAGUUUCAACCAUCACUUAUCUUCUCCUUUUCUAAACUUUUUCAAAGAAAAGAGAGAUUUAAUCGGUUGCCAUCUUGUAGUUUAGUAUUUCACACCUUGGCCACUCAAGGUUCAAGUUGAAAGUAUUCUUGAAGAAUAAGUGGUAAACUUGUUUGAUCGAGAAAUCAUUCAUUGGUGUGGUGGUGCCCGAAAAUAAGAAUCUCAAAAUAAAAGGUAUGAUUUUUUCUCAUUUAAUAUAUUCUUUUUUUUUUUAGGAUGUGAUUAUGUUACUUGCAAUAAUAAUGAUGUGUGUUUUCGCUUGUGUAAUUGGAUUGCUUGCUUCCUUAUAAAAGAAAUUUUUGAAAUCCAUCAUUUACACAAUCACAUUAAUCCAUUACGAUUCUACUCCAACAUUGUGGUGUAUGGCGAUACUGAGGUUGUGGUUGUCUUUUUUGUAAUGGUUGUUGGUUUUUUUUUAUGAUCUUUGUCUAGUUCUUGUGAUUUUCUACUUCUAGUUGGUGGCCAUCCCAUGUUUUCAGUUUGUUCCUAAGGCGAUUUGCUUGGUUUUUGUGAAUGGAAGAGGCAUGUAUUAUUUUUGAGAUUUGUUUUUUCAGGACCAUGUUUGUUUAAGGCUUCGGCUUUGUGCAAUUCAUCUUGUAAGGGUUGGAAACUAGGUUGUUGUUUGUUUAGGGCCAUCCUUUUUAUAGGGUUUCAGUCAGGGGUGGAGUUAGUCAAUUUUUGUUGGAAGGGCCAAAGAGAAAAAAAACUAAGAGCUAAAAAAUUUUAAAACUAAUAUAUUGAAUUUAAUCAACGAUCAAAAGAUUCAUAAUAAAUAAUAAUUUUAUAUAACAUGUAAACAAAAACACCAAGAAAAAAAGACUUAUAAUAGUCAUUUAAGAAAGUUGUACUCGACGAUGUUUCUUGGAUUCACAUUCAUCAAUUAUUGACUUUAUAAUGAAAAAGCUAGCAAUGUUUUUCUUAAUAUAAACAACUAAAAUAUUUGCAAGAAACACAUUAUUCAGUUUGUUUCGGAGUCUUGUUUUCACAAUUUUCAUUACUGAAAAGCUUUCUUUGUAGUUGCUGUAGAAACCAGAAGAGUCAAAAUAAGGCAAAUUAAUCUAUCAAUCAAGUGGUAAUUUUUUGACUUUUUUGUUUCUGCUAAUCUUUGGCACAAUUUAGAAACUUUCUUAAUAUCUUCAAAACUUUGAUGAUGAGGUAUAUCAAACUUGUAAUGCCUCAAUUGUAACCUUAAAAUAAGUCUUUCUCGUUCUGUGAAAUCUUGAGAAUAAAAACUCUUUAUUAACUUGCAGAUAUCAUCAAUAGUGAAUGAUUCAUAAUUGUUAUUAGGAUCUAAAGCAGUGCUUAAAGUUAAAAGUUCCACAACUUGCUCAUUGAAUCUCAAAUUCAAUUCUUGUAACUAGGAAUCUAUUGUCACUAAGAAUACAUUAACUCAAUAAUGAUGCUCCACAGUUACAUCUGGUUGACGAGAUUAACCUCUACCCAAGAUAUAUAGUGCACCCAUGUCAAGAAUUUUUAUCUCAUGUUUUUAACAAAUUUUUUUCACAUUCUCAAGCAAAUUAGACCACCCAUCAUCUCUCAACUUCUAAAGGAGUGAUUUUGUAGUAAAAACAAGAUGAAUUACAUUUAAAAAAUCUUGAGAGCAUAAUUGUAAUGCUUGACAAAGAACAUUAGUGAUUCUCAUGAUCUCAUACAUCAAGUGUAAUAUGCAAAUAUAUUCAAAUGAUACUAAUAUUUUACUAGCAGUAGAAGCAUCACCUUUUUGUGAACAACUGGCCUUUUCAUCAAUAAUACUUUUAAUAAUAGUGCAAGUUGCAUUAAAUAUUCUCAUCAAGCUAAAAAUAAAAUGAAAGUGUGAGCUCCAUCAAGUAUCUCUAACUUUUUGUAGAGUUCCCACUUGAUUUGCUCCUCUACUUGUUUCAAGUUCAUCACUAGUAAUCAUGUUUGCAAUGUCAAUUAUUUGAGCAGUUUGUAAUUGGUCAUGUCUUUUAGGAGAAGCACUAACAAUAUUAACAAUAGAAGUUAACUGUGUAAAAAAUUCAUGAAUAUGAACUAUUUCUCUAGAUGCCACAACCAAUGCUAAUUGUAAUCUGUGAGCAUAACAAUGCACAUAAUAUGCAUAUGGACAAUUGUUAAGUACCAAAGCUUGUAAACCAUUCCAUUCACCAUGCAUGUUACUAGCAUCGUCAUAUCCUUGACCUCAAAUACUUUCAACUUGAAGGUUAUAACGAGAAAUAAUAGAUGAGUAGUCCAGAAAAGAUUCAUCACCCUAAGUGAUUUAAAGGGGACAUAUCUCAAUUGAUCUUAGCUUAUAUUGACAGACUUCUUGGCCGAAGCAAUCUUGAUAAGUCAAUAUGAAGCUUUAGGACUAAUAUGGGUUAUCAUGAGUAAACAACAUGCCAUGUUUCAUAACAUAUCUAGGAUAUUUUUAUGGAAGGAUUGAAUUACAUUGAGAUACUAUAUACUGAAAGGCUAGUUAAACCGUAUUGACUUUCUAAACAUUUGGGUGGUCUUGAUGUAUUGCUAGAUGCCACUCAUGAUCUAUAAAUAUAAGUAAUUGGAUUAAUUUAUAUUUAUUGUCAACAUGUUGGGGGCUUAAUGAUAACACACAAUAAGGUGACAAUGUGAAAUUAAAAUGGGACUUGUACUUAAUUGAAAAUUUAGAAUUUUCAAUUUGGACUCAAUUAAACGGUUUAAUUAAGUACAAGGGUUAAAUUAUAAUUGACCAAAAGUUGGAUCAGCAAUUUAACCUAACUAUAAAUACUUAAAUGUAGAUGUUGCACCAUAUGAGAAGAAUUAGAGGUGAGAAACACUUAACAAAAAAUAGGUAAAAAGCUCCCUAUGCCUAAGAAACAAUUUUUUUAGGACUCUAGGAACCGUUGUUUUUUGUCAUCUUUUUUACCAAAAUCAAUUCUUUGAAAGGUGAAAUUAUGAAAUCCAUUGCUUCACAGCAUACACAUAAUCCUUACCUUAAAGAAGGCUUUCAUCUGUCACUUGUCUAGAUCACUGUUGAAAGCUAGUCACAUGGACAACUUUGGUUUGGGACAACGGGACUUUGGUGUGCAAUCAAGAAACGGCUCAUGAUUUGUGAUUUAUGGGAAUCACUACUAAAGGUAUGAUUUUGAUCAUUUGCUUGUAUGCAUGAAUGUUAAUUUGAUCAAAUGCCAAAACAAGUGAUCCUAUAGAGGUUUUGGUUUUCUAUGUUUAUUUCCGCUACGCUAUUCAAUUUUAAUUGCUAAUUUUUGAAUUUCAUUCUUUUCCCUAAGCAUGGCCAAAAUCUAGCAAACUUGGCUUGUCUAGGUUGAUUAAGGACCAUUUUAUAUUAAGAGUUAGGGUAAAAGACAAAUUAAAAAAACAUGAGCUUUCCAGGGUGUCAUGAUCAAUGAUAAUCAAUUAAAUGGAAUUGGAAAUUUCGAUGACCAAUGGUCUGAUUUUUUUUAUUUGAUAUCAAAAACUGUUGAAUCAAUUAUGGGCAAUAUAGCCUUGUUACUCAUUAAUUUGUGUUGAUUCAUUGAAGCAUGUCUAGAUGAUGAGAAAUGGCAUAGUGAAUAUCAUCAAAAGAAAUUAAAAAGAAGAGAAAUCAGAAGAAAUAUUCUAAAAGAAAAAGCUUGGGUAUGCAAUAAAUAUAAUUAGACCCUAAGAUAAAUAGAAUAAAAUGAAAAUUUGAAUUAUAUAUAUAAUUAAUUAAUUAGAAAACUAUUUUAAAAAAUAAGAAAUUUUACUCAGAUUAAUAACGGAUUUUAGUUGGUAAGCUCGUAAAAUAUUUUUAUCGAACCAACCUUGCAUAUACCUAUUUAAAAAGCAAUCUGGAUUUAGUUCUCUUUUGAAAAUCCAUUUGACUCCUAUCACUUGUCGAUUCCUAAGUCCGUUUACCAGUGACCGAGUCUUGUUUCUAGCUAUCAUAUUCAACUCCUUCUUCAUGGCAGUGAUUUAGUGCUCUUAAAGUGCAGUUCCUUCAUAGGAUUUAGAAUCCGUAAUAGCCAUUUGACACCUCUCAUAAACAUCUUGGAUUGAUUUUACUCCCUUUGCUAGUGUUUGAUCUUCCAUCUUAUUACCAUAAAUAUUUUGAGAAUCUGUAUUUUGAUAGUUUGAAAUACCAAUAAAUUCAUUAGAAACUGUAGCUUGACUUUACUCCCAAUUCCAACUCUCAUUGUCAUUGAAGACAGUGUUCUAACUGAUAAAGUGUCACGACCCAAUUUUUUCGGGCCAUGACCGACGUAUGAGCUCAAUGAGCAUAGUUCACUAAGCCCAAGCAAGCCUAUCCAUUUACCUUUGCUUAACAAAUUUAUCAUAUCAUGCAUACACACACACACACACACACCUUUUCCCAGGUGUGAACAUAGCCAAAACACAAUGGUAUUAUCGAUAAUAAUAUACAUGCACUAUACCAGUCAUGUAUUUAGCAAUUUACAUUGCAUAUACAUAUUUACAUUGUUAGAUUGUAUUCACAAUGCAAAAGGACCCAUGACUUCCAGCGGAGACAUUUACAAUAAAAGGGAUUACUAUCGAAUGCCAGACACAUACCCAGGAGAUGCACUACGAGGACUCCUUGAUCUAGGGUCCAACAGUCACCUGAUCUGAAAACAUGAAUUUUUAUAAAACGUGAGUACAAUACUCAGUGAGUGAACAAGAAGGGAACAAGCAUACCAUAAGGAAUGUUUAUCGAAAUCAUGGUGCAUUCAUUUUCUCAAAACCAUGCAAUUGUUUUAGCUCAUUUAAACCCUUCAUGUAAACCCCACAUGAGUAAAUCAUUUUACAAAAAUCCAUGCUCAACUAUGGUACCAAAGAAAUGGGAAAAUGGCAAAAACCCACAAGUUAGCAAAAUGGACAGAAAGUUUCUCGCUGUAGCGAGAACCAGUUCUGGUGAAGGCCCUCAAACCAGAGAGUUUCUCGCUGUAGCGAGAAACUAUUUCGCUACAGCGAAACAGAGCAACAAGAGAAAAGUUUCCCUUCACUCAACAAAAGGGCCAUCCUACUAAACCAACAAAAUCAACAUAAAACUCAUGAAAAUUCUCAAAGUGCAAUGUAUCAAAUUUCACAUAUAUGUCAACCAUAUAUCACAUUCAUGAGCUUUCAUUUCAUAAGUCUAGAUAUGCNNNNNNNNNNNNNNNNNNNNNNNNNNNNNNNNNNNNNNNNNNNNNNNNNNNNNNNNNNNNNNNNNNNNNNNNNNNNNNNNNNNNNNNNNNNNNNNNNNNNNNNNNNNNNNNNNNNNNNNNNNNNNNNNNNNNNNNNNNNNNNNNNNNNNNNNNNNNNNNNNNNNNNNNNNNNNNNNNNNNNNNNNNNNNNNNNNNNNNNNNNNNNNNNNNNNNNNNNNNNNNNNNNNNNNNNNNNNNNNNNNNNNNNNNNNNNNNNNNNNNNNNNNNNNNNNNNNNNNNNNNNNNNNNNNNNNNNNNNNNNNNNNNNNNNNNNNNNNNNNNNNNNNNNNNNNNNNNNNNNNNNNNNNNNNNNNNNNNNNNNNNNNNNNNNNNNNNNNNNNNNNNNNNNNNNNNNNNNNNNNNNNNNNNNNNNNNNNNNNNNNNNNNNNNNNNNNNNNNNNNNNNNNNNNNNNNNNNNNNNNNNNNNNNNNNNNNNNNNNNNNNNNNNNNNNNNNNNNNNNNNNNNNNNNNNNNNNNNNNNNNNNNNNNNNNNNNNNNNNNNNNNNNNNNNNNNNNNNNNNNNNNNNNNNNNNNNNNNNNNNNNNNNNNNNNNNNNNNNNNNNNNNNNNNNNNNNNNNNNNNNNNNNNNNNNNNNNNNNNNNNNNNNNNNNNNNNNNNNNNNNNNNNNNNNNNNNNNNNNNNNNNNNNNNNNNNNNNNNNNNNNNNNNNNNNNNNNNNNNNNNNNNNNNNNNNNNNNNNNNNNNNNNNNNNNNNNNNNNNNNNNNNNNNNNNNNNNNNNNNNNNNNNNNNNNNNNNNNNNNNNNNNNNNNNNNNNNNNNNNNNNNNNNNNNNNNNNNNNNNNNNNNNNNNNNNNNNNNNNNNNNNNNNNNNNNNNNNNNNNNNNNNNNNNNNNNNNNNNNNNNNNNNNNNNNNNNNNNNNNNNNNNNNNNNNNNNNNNNNNNNNNNNNNNNNNNNNNNNNNNNNNNNNNNNNNNNNNNNNNNNNNNNNNNNNNNNNNNNNNNNNNNNNNNNNNNNNNNNNNNNNNNNNNNNNNNNNNNNNNNNNNNNNNNNNNNNNNNNNNNNNNNNNNNNNNNNNNNNAAUUCCUCUACCAUACCCAUUUUUCAGAAUUGAAUUCAUCAUGAUAACUCAAUAUUCAACCAUGGAAAUCAAGAACAAAAGCAUGGGUAAGCUAGGUAUCAAAGAGAAUUAAAAAAAUUCUAACUUACCUAGCUUGUUUCCUUGAUUUCUUCACUUUUUCUUUGAAUUUUCACCUAGGUUUUCUUGUUUUUCCCUUUGUUCUUCCUUUGUUCUUGUUGCUGGUUGCCUAGGCUGAAUAUGGUGAGAAAAUUGGGGAUUUAAUGGGCUGAUUUUUAUAGAAAAUAAUAAAAUAAUCAAGCAUGCCACGUGUCACAUGCUUAUUGGCCCAAUUUUUUUAACUUUUUGACUUUUUCUUCUUAAUUUUCCACCACAAAUAUUCUGGUAUUUAUCCAAUCCUACCACAAUUAAAAUCCCUUGGUCUGGACAAGUGCUGGGGUGAAAAAUUUACCGAUUUGCCCCCGAGACGAAAAAAUUAUGAUUUUGCCCCUAUACUCUAAAAUGUACAGGAAUCACAUUAUUUCUACUUUUCAACCUCAAAUAACACUAAUAUUGAUCAAUAUUAACCAAAUGAGGCAAAAAUCGUUUUAUAAAAAUUCCCGUUUAGUCAUCUAGUGGUAAAAUUACCAUUUUACCAUUUUGCUCUAAAAAUACCGGGAAUCAUAAUUUUUCACUGCUAAACAUCAUUUUAUACUCCAAUAAUCAUAAUUAUAUUUUAUAUAAUUAUUCUUGGUCAAAUGUGAUCAAAUCUUGGCUAGAAAUCUCCAUUUCAUCAUCAAAUGGUAAAAUGACCGUUUUAUCCCUAAUCGGUCAAUUUUCCUGAUGGACUCCAAACUGGACCUUGAACUCCGAAUCACUAUUCUAAGCCAUUCUGUGGGUUUCAAAAUUUUGAAUUUCCUCUUAGAAUUUUUAUUUGAACUAGUUCAAGGCUCGAUUCAACUUAAUUGUACCACUCGAUAUAAUACCAUCUUUUAAUCGAGCUUGACAAGGUCUCACAUAAAGACUUUACCAGAUUCAACUAGAAAUAUUCUAUAUGCCUUAGAUUUCAAGUUGUAUCCAAUCAGAACCUCAAUCGGAGCCUUCAAUUAAAGUUUGUCUCUAUGUUCCUCAAGCAUGAUGAUAGCAAAGGCUCCUAAACACUUCUAAAUGAUCAAUAGAAGGCAUGUUCCCAUGCCACGCUUCAUAUGGAGUGAUAUUUUUUCUUGCUUUAGUAGAAAUAAUAUUGAGCAAAUAUACUAUAGUAAAAGUUACUUCUGCCCAGAAUCUUUUUGGCAUGUUUUUCUCGAGCAUCAAACACUUACACAUAUAAAGUAUUGUACGAUUUUUUCUUUCACUUACCCUAUUUUGUUGGGGACCAUAUGGUGCUAUUACUUGAUGAAGAAUGCUUUCUUUGUCCAAGAAUUGAGUGAAUUUCAAAGAUGAAUAUUCACAUCCAUUAUCAUAUGUAAGAGCUUUAAUCCUCAUUCAAGAUUUUAACUCAACUUGAGCUUUGAAUUUCUGAAAGCAUUUAAAUGUUUCUACCUUAUGCUUCAUAAGAAAGAUCUAACAGAGCCUGGUUAGAUCAUCAAUGAAGGUAACAAAAUACCUAUUACCAUUUAACGACUCCUUACUUAGAAAACCUCCAACAUUAAUGUGGAUAAGGUCAAGCUUAUCUUUUGAUUUGUUAAGACUAGCAGAGGGAUAACGUUUUCGAGCUAAUUUUCCUUACCGACAAGUUUUGCAAAUGAGGCAACUUUUUGAUAGUUUGGGGUGCUUCUCUGCAAUACCUAAAUUACUCAAUUGCAUCAAUGAAUUAUAAUUACAGUGGCCAAAUCUCUUGUGCCACAAAGUAGUCAAAUUUGAGUUAAACUUCUGUUGUCUACAUGCAUGCAUCAUUGCAAUUCAUUAGGAAACAAUUUUGUUUCAAGUGAAUACUCAUCAUAUAAUCGUCAUUAGGAGCAUAAAUAAUCCAGGACAUAUCCUUAAUAAUAAGACAUAAUUAUGCUUAAGCAUUUGUCUUACACUUAACAGGUUUUUAUUUAUUCAAUUGCUUCCUAAAGGUUAAGACUUCAUAGAUAAAACUCCAUCUUGACAGAAUAGAUCGUAUAAUUCUCUCCAUUGAACACUGGUGGUGUUGAUCCCAAAUAAAUGUGCUAGAGGGGGGUGAAUAGCACUUUUUGGCUUUCACUAAACUUGAUUCCUAAUCGGGGAUAAAUUGAAGGUCAAUGUUGAGAAAUUUGAUGCAAGAUGAAGGAAUGGUUUAAGAAAGAAUGAAAAUAAAAAGUAAAACAGGGGAGACAAUACACAAAUAUUUAUAGUGGUUCGGUCAAAGAUCUACAUCAACUAUCUUGAUUGUUCAACCAAGGAUUUUCCAACCAAUAUCACUAUAAACAGUGGAAUUCCCAAGCUCCCACCAAGCUUUUACAAUGGUUUUUCACGAGAUCAACCAAAACCCAAAAUGGCUUUUCAAAGGCUCAACCAUAACCUUUAACAAUGGUUUUUCACGAGAUCAACCAAAACCAAAAAACUAACUUUUGUAAGGCUAAGUUAGAACCUACCACAACAACCAAGCUAACCCAAGCUUUAUCAACCCCUUAGAGUAUCUCUCACACUCUAAGUAAACAGAAAAUAGAAAAAAGAUGAAGUACAAUUAAUCACCUAGCCGAUCUAAGAUGUACAAAGUUAAGCUCAAAAACUUUUUCAAAGGAUGAGAGUGAAAUACAAGUGCAAAGAGAAGGUUUUUGAUCUUCUAAGCUCAAAAUCACUAUGGAUGGCUUUUCUCUCUUGUUUUUGACAAUUGGAGAGGCUUUAAAUACUUGCAAAAUCAAUUAUGGCCGUUGGAGAUAGAAACUAGCCGUUUCUAACCGUUAUUUUGUCUUCUAGUGCUCAAUUCAAAUUUUCUAAUAGAAUGAUCUUAGUCGACUAACUGCGCUCUUAGUCAACUCAAUUGUUUCUAUCUUCUGAACCCAGUUUUUAGUAGUGAGCACUUAAUCGACUAACUUAUUUCUUAGUCGAUUAAGUUGUUUCUAUCUCGAAGUUCAGAUUUUUGGCAAUAGGCUCUUAGUCGACUAGCUUACUUCUUGGUCCACUAAGUCUUCUCUGUCUCUUAAUCUGCUCUUGAACCAACCAACUUCAUUUUUAAAUUUUAGCUGACUAACUCCCAUCAUCAUCUGACUAAGAGGCUUCUGUUUUGUGACUCAAUUGUAGCUGUUUCUUCUUUGCUUGUUUAACCAAUUAACCCAUCUUGUAACUGAACAAGCAUCUUGACUUCCUUACAAAUACCAAAUAUAUUAAUGAAUUUAAGCUUUCUCCUACACACUUAAAUAAUAUAAUUAGACAUCAAUGAAUGAGAAUAUUUUGCUUUCAUCAAAAACAUAUAGAGUCAACAUUCUCUAUCUCUUAUUUUUGAUGGUCACGAAACACUCCUAGAUUAAGAAUGCAAUGUCUAUGUUCAAUAUGAAUGCUUCAAAUCUUUAUGUAUAAUAAGGUGCUCCCCCUUAGUCAAUGCAUCUACUUUUUUUUACAUAAUAUUCAAUAAAGCCAAAACUGAGCAUCACACACAUAAAUUAAACAUGAAGACCUAUUAAACUCUAUUUGAUUUAGUCUUCCUUCUCUCAUUUUUCUUUUUCACCACUAAACAAGAUAUUCAAAACUCCCCCUUAAUGAGUGCAUCAAGAUUUUUCUUUAAUCUUUGAAUCAAACUUUAAUGAAUGAAAAUCAUAAGCACUCAUACACCUAACUCAUACAAGCUUAUAAAUAUAGUUCAAUAACUUCAAGAGUCAAGCUUGUGUCUAUGUAAGAACAAAUGUAUGGGAGUUAAAUCAUUUCAAGAAAAUGUCAAGGAUUACUCAAAUAAUGUUCAAGCAAAUUUAAUCAUUUUGUCAUAAUCAAAACUAUAAUAAUUUUAAAGCUAACAGGUGGAGUUUGAUGACUGAAGGUAGUGUUAGAAGCUAAAGUCAUAAUGUCGUGCUGGUUUGCUAUUGAUUUUGUUAAGAAAGUAUUUAGGUUCUUUCACUUGUCAGGUCCCUUAAGAACUUAACAACUCUUUGAUACCAUGUUAGGAACAUGGUUAAGAGUCGAUAUACGUUGCUAGUGCAAGCUUUUAUUUUAGGUUUUUAAAUCAGGGAUAGAAAAAGAAACAAAGUUUUUCUCAUAUUUCCAUUAUCCAAACUAUCAGUGUAUUUACAAGGUAGUAAACAUUCAUAUAGAAACAUGAUUGACACUUGUUAAACUAAACAAACCAACCUUAGAGCAUCAUUUACAUAACAACAUACAUAACACCACGUAUGGUGUUCACUCAGUCAACAAAAAAUCAACUUCCUGCAUGGCAUCUAUGUGGUGAGAUACAUGUCAUUCUUCUUACUUAGCACUUGCAAGCAUUACAUUCAACAAAUGGAAUGUGUCCAUGUGGAAGUGAGGUCAGUAGGGGGCCUUAAUGUGGCUCUUAUCUUUGUAGAUAAUGUUGGGAUGAGCCUUGCAGCCAAUUGGGAUUGGUUAAGGCUUGAUUUCAAUCAUGCAACAGUAUCAUUCAUGUUGAAUGAUUAGAGGUUUUCCUUCAUCAAUAAGACAUCAAUUACAAUGAGUUAUAAGUCUAACUGGAUGGAGUCCAUGAGAUUAAUAUGCCUUGUAAAGAAACUGUAAUGGGUUCUAGUUAUGAGAUUCCUGACAUCAAUUACAAUGAGUUAUAAGUCUAACUGGAUGGAGUCCAUGAGAUUAAUAUGCCUUGUAAAGAAACUGUAAUGGGUUCUAGUUAUUAGAUUCUUAUACAUCAAAGCAUAAUCUCAAUAUGUUCUUGGUCAAAUGUAUCAUUGAGACUGGACAUCGAUGAUGCUUAGAAACUGGUAUAUUCUAUGUUCUUUACUUUGGAAGUAAGCAAUCGAUCUCAUAGAUUAGAGUAUAGAGAUACUUGGAACUAGAAUAUAAGUGCUUGCUUAGGAGAGCAAGUCCACUGAACAUGACCCACCAUGAGAAGUGCAUUUGGUAAUACACUCUAGUGUCUAUGCAACACUUCUCUUGUGCCAGUCGUGUAAAUACUCCUUAAACUUAAGACACCAGAUUAUAUAAUAUGUGGAGUGCUAUGUUUGGAUUUCAUCCCUACGGGUACCUAACCAAGGAUGCCAAAACAAAAUGCUUUUGAGUAUAGUAUGAAGCAUGUGAAGGCAAAUGAAUGGUCAAGAUAGGAAUCAUCACCUCAAGUGUUUUAGAGGACAUAUCCUAUCAGUUCUUGGUUAACAUUAACUUAUUGAAGUCCUUAGCCAAGGCGACAUAGAGAUUAUGAAAAAGGUUUCAUAACUCUCUAUAAAGCUAAUACUCUAACUACAGGAACAAAUAUAGAGGUCAAUAAGAGUAGACACUAUACCAGGCUCUAAUAAUCUCUAGGAUAUAUGAUGAGGGAAUGAAUUACACUGAUAAACUAUACAAUGAAAGGUUGUCAAUGAACCCUUUGACUUUCCUAACAAUUAAGUGGCCAUGAUGCAUUGCUAGAUGCCAAUCUUGGUCUAUGGAAUUGAUUAUAUAUUGAUUGAUUGAAAUUUAUAUUAAUCAAUUAAGUCAUAAAUCAAUUCCAUUGCUAACAUGGUGGGAACCUAAUGGGUCACACAUAAUAGUUGCAUUUGAAUUAAAUUGGGAGAGUGAUGAUUUAAGUUAGAUUUAAAUCAAAUGCUAGGUAAUUAACUUCUAUAAACUUAAUUAAAAGAGUUUAAUUAAGUUUUAGACAUAAUUAUAAUAUAAUUAUAAGACAUUGAUUGCAAAAUAUAAAGGAAAUUAAUUUUGAUUUUAAUUUUCAAUAACUUAAUUAAAAGAGUUUAAUUAAGUAAUGGGCCUAAUAUUAUAAUGUGUUAUAAUAUUGAGGGCUUAAUUAUAAAAUUGAAGUUAUUUUAACCUAACUAUAUAAAUCACCUUUUAACUAUUUUUCAUAUGAGAGUUUUUCACAAUUGAAGAAAACCUAGUUUUUGUUAGAAAAAGAAAAGCGUUUUCUCUCUUUGCCACCACUCCCUUUGUGUAAAAGAGAAAAUUACUUAUGAAUCAAUUUUCAAGAUAGAUUCUGCUAAGAUUGUGAAAAAGAAGAAAAGGACAAUUGUUGUUCUAUUUGCUAGCACAAAGUAUAGUUGAAAACUCCCUCCUUUGUUGAAGGUUCAGGUGCAAUCGUGUGUACUACUGUUGGAGGCCAAACACUUGAUUGACUAGGGUUUUUACUCCUUAUGGUGUUCGUCAGAUUGUUUCGGGGAGUGCCAUUGUGAUUACCGAAUUACUUUGUCAGGUAACUUUCUAAAUAAUAAUUUAUUUUGUGCUUUUAUGUGUUAAAUAUCACCAAGGUGAUCCAUGGGUGGAGGCAUGUUUUGGUUGUUUAGUUAUAAAGUUUUAGUUUUCUUUCCGCUGCAUAUUUUGAGCAUGCCAUCCAUAGCCAAACCCAUUAGAUAAACCAGAAAGGAAAGAGUUGCUAAGUAAUUUUAAAGCUAUUUUCAAUGAGUGGUUUAAGUAUCAAUACCCUUACUCCCAAAAUGGUAACCAACAGAGGAUUACAAUUUUUGUUAGGGAUAGUAAUGGGUACCCUGUUACAGGGUACCAACAGAUAUCCGAUCUAGUUAUAUAGGGUUAAAGUACCCGAUAAUCGGGUUUAGGACGAGUUCAGGUAGUGAUUUCACUACCUGUAUCGAGUUCAAGUACCACCUAUUGGGUUACCCGUUACCCGAACCCGAUUACCAUUUAUAAAUAUUUUAUUAUUAUUGUCACGACCCAGUACUCCCUUCGAACCCGUGACAUUAGCCGCGAUGUCUCGAUAGACAUUCAUUACCUGGAAUGUCGAUCGAAACCUCGCAAGGCUCUCUCAUCAAUUUUACAUCUCCCUUGUGAGCAAUAGUUACUAAAUAUCAUAUUUUAAGGGAAUAUAAACUAUUUUAAAAAAAAAAAAUUUCUACCAUACAGGGGUAUUUUGAUCAUUUUUACCUAAAAAUUUUGAAACUUGGUAAAAAUAUAACAUACGAUCGAAAAAUAUACAUUUCUUAUCUAAAGAUAAUUUUAGUAAUCUAAAUCAUCCAUCAAGAAUGAAAUUAUGGCUAAUCAAACUAAAUAAAAAUAUUGAAUAAAAUAUUUUAUUUUCUUAUAAAACAAUAUUUAUAGAAUCCUGCAUAAAUAAUUUUUAUAGCGUAAAAGCAAAAUAAAUUCAUACAUAUAGUGGCACACGUAGCCAGGUAUACAAAAUAUUCUACAAUGACAUGUGGGCCCCUAACAUGUGGGCCCCUAAAAUCAACAAAUAUGUACAAGAGGGUAGACCUUGGAUUUCUAAGGAUGUAAAUCCUAAAGUAGAUCCUCGACGAAAUCAGCUAUCUACAGACUAUCCUGAGCUUGAAAUGAGUGGAAAGGAGGGUGGUGAGUUUAUAUAACUUAGUGAGUAAACAAGCAUCAUCUAAAAUAUCUAAAGUCGAGUAAAUGGAGACAACUUAAAAUAGUUCAUCGUACUAUGAUUCAUAACGUUUCAAACUCAUUUCAACUAAAUAAAAUAAUUUCAUUUCACUCAAAUAAUCAACAUGGCUUAUGAAUUUCUUAAAAAUUUGGCUCAUGCCAAAACUCAUUCUCAAGGAUACCUUGGCCGGGGCAUCCAACCGAGUCCACCAAGGCUGUUAAAGAAAAGUUCAUAUACGCAUAAAACACAUUUUUACGUUUAAAAGCAUAGUCGUUCCUUGGUGUUGGUUGAGUUCACCCUCACGUGGUGGUUUAGGGUGUAGUGAACUCUAAAGCUUUACCUCAGGAGAUAUCUUCCGCGGCUCUAGUACCGAGGUAAAAUAUAACCGGGUUUACCGUGCCCCUCUCUAAUAGGUUGGUCCACGAAAACCCGCCACUGCAGUGACUAAUCAAUAUCCCACCAAAUUAAUAAAAGUUUCGACAGCAUGAUAUGGCAAUUAAAUUAGUACCCAGCCUGUUAAGGCAAAACAAACAAUUCAUACAAUUUCCACAUAAUUUCUAAUUCAGCCAUUCAUGCCAAUAUCACCAUAAGCCAUUCAAUUCAAACCAUAAAUUUACAACACAAACAAACAGUCUCCAAUUACUCAAUUUCCAAAAUCAUCAUUCAAUUUCAAAAUGAUUUAUGAAACUCAUUUCAUUUAAUCACGUUUUACUUAUAAAACAUAAGGAUUUACCAUUUAAACUCAUUUUUCUAUAAAAUCACAAAAACGAAUAAAAACUACUUUAGAUAAUUAAGACGAUAAUAAGGUUACUCACAAUAUCAGGAGUCGAAGUACUCCUAGUCUCGAUCUUCGGGUACAAUCUCCUUACCUUUAUCAGAAGUUUCACCACCUAAACAUAAUGCACAACAAGCAAUUUACUAUAUUUGUACUAAACCGUUAUAAAACUAAUUUAGGCUCUAUAUGAAUGCAUGAAAUGGGAUGCGAAAUGUUCAGAUUAUUAUCUAAAUAUGGUGUUCUAAGUAGCUUCAAUUAUGUAUCGUAAUAAAAUGGUAUUGGCCUAAUUCAAUCUAUACACUGGUUAAUUGGCCAAUACAUCCAAUUCAACUCCAAUUAACUUGAUUCCACUUCCAACACUCCAAGUCAUCAAUUACAAGUUAAAUAAUAUGUAAUAUCACAAAAAUCCAUCAUCAAUAUCUUCCUUGUAAAAUUCGGCCAUUGAAGGUUUAGUGUAGAACAUGUAAUUUUCAUGCUUGAUUUUUACACCUUGCAUCAUAAAACAACUCAAAACACCUAAAUAGCAUGAAAUUCAUCAAAGUCCAUUAUCCAAUUUCUCUCUUGAAAAUUUUAGCCAAGGAGUGUGGGUGAAGGGCAUGAAAUUUCUUGCUUGUUUUUCAUGCUAAACAUCACCAAACAACUAAAAACACUAAGAUACCUUGAAAUCUAACCAAAUAAAUCAUCAAAUCUUCUCUCCCUAAAUUCGGUCAGUCAUGAAUCCUUCAUGAGAUCUUGAAUUUUAACCAUGGUAAUUAAAAAAGAAUGCAUAGGAAAUGUAGAUCACAAGCUAGAAUUAAGAAAAUUUACCUUUACUUGCUUAAUUCCUUGAAAUCCAAUGAAUUUUCUCUUGAUUUUCUUCUCUAGGGUUUGGUCUAUGCUUUUUCCCUUUUGUUCUUGCCUUGGCUGGCCAAGAGAAAUGAGAUAGGGGAGUUUUAGUUGUGUUUAUAAAGGAAAAUAUAAUAAUAUUAAAGCUUGACACUGGUCACCAUGUGAUUAGUCCAUACAUAAAACUUAAUAAUUAAGCAUUUCUUCUCCACCAUAUAAAAUCCCUCAAUUAUCCAAAGUAUAAAAUGAAUUUCAUGGGUUUGACAAGUGUCAAGGUGGUGUAAAAUUUCAAAAAUUCUAAUUAUGUCCUUGUGGACACGUGAAAUGACAUUUUUGCCCUUAUGUUCGAAAAAUUGUCAGAAUUAAAAUUUUUCACUUCUCAAGCUCAAAUUAUGUUCCAAAUAGUCAAACUUGAUCAAAAUUUCAUCCACCAUCCCAAAUUUGCCUUCGGGUGAAAAAAUGACCAUUUUGCCCCUAUGUUAUGAAAAUUUCCGAAUUAACUCCAAAUCAAUCCUUGAACUCUGAAUCACCAUAAUAAGACAUUCUAAGGUUCAAUAACUCUCAAAUACAUCCUAAAAUCUCUAUUCAAACUAGUUCGAGAUUUUAAUCGACUUAAUUGUAUCACUAGGUACGAUACCGACUUUUAACGAUUCUUCGAGGCAUUUUAAGUAUGCAGACAUGCUAUCAAAUACAUGAAUGACAUGGCAAGUAUAUAAUAGAGCUGGGCUUGACAAUUACUUAAAUAAUUAAAUUAAAAAUGUACAAUUUUUACCAACUUUGCAAGCAAUUCCUUUUGUUAAAAACUAACAAAUACACGAAAAGUAUGGUUACUCAAAUUAUUAAUUUGAUAACAUUAAUAAAUUUAAGUUAAAAAAUUAUUAGAUUAUUAAUUAUGUUUAAAUAAUAUGAAUAUUAUAUGAUAUUACAAAGAAAUAUAAGUACUAUUAUAUAUAUAUAUAUAUAUUACUUUUAAUAUAAAUAUAUUUACUCAUAAGUUUAUAUAAACUUAUAAUAUAAAUACUUAAAGAGAGCCUUUGAGAUUAGAAUAGUUUUGGAACCUAACUAUUUUUUUUUUAAUUUCAUGUAAUUAAGGACAAACUCAUAUAAUUAAUUAAAUUAAUUCAUGAACCUAUGAUUAUUAAUUGACUUGUAAUGUCUUUUAAUAUAUAUAGUUUAUAUAUUGUAUUAAUUUAUUAGAAAUAUAAUUACUAUUAUAUAUACUAAAAUACUUUUAGUAUGUAUAUACUUUAAAUAUAAACAUAUUUACUUGCUAUUUUAUGUUAACAUUAUAAAAAUUAUAUCUUAUAAAAUUAUUAAUUAUAAUAUAUAUGCAUUUGUUUAUAUAAACUUAUAAUAUAUAAAUCUAAAGAGAAUUUGUGAGAUUGGAAUAGUUUUGAACCUAGUUAUUUUUUUUAAUUUCAUGUAAUUAAGGACAAACCCAUAUAGUUAAUUAAAUUAAUUCAAGAAAAUAUAAUUAUUAAUUAACUUGUAAUUGUCUUUCAAUAUAUAUACUUUAUAUAUAUUAUGUUCAUUUAUAAGGAAUAUAAUUAUUAUUAUAUAUAUACUAAAAUACUUUUAGUGUGUUUGUAUAUAUAUAUAUAUAUAUAUAUACUUUAAAUAUAAACAUAUUUACUUUCUAUUUUGUGUUAACAUUACAAAAAUUAUAACUUAUAAAAUUAUUAAUUACAAUAUAUAUAUAUAUAUAUAUAUCUUUGUUUAUAUAAACUUAUAAUAUAUAAAUCUAAAAAUAAGUUAUGAGUUAUAAUAGUUUUGAAACCUAGUUAGUUUUUUUAAUUUCAUAUAAUUAAGGACAAACCCAUAUAUUUAUGAUUAUUAAUCAACUUGUAAUAUCUUUUAAUACAUUUACUUUAUAUAUAUUGGGUUCAUUUAUAAAAAAUAUAAUUACUAUUAUAUAUAUACACAAAUACUUUUAGUAUAUUUACAGUUUAAAUAUAAACAUAUUCACUUUCUAUUUUGUGUUAACAUUACAGAAAUUAUAACUUUUAAAAUUAUUAAUUAUGUUUGAGAUAUUUAUUUUUGGAUUAUUUAAAAUUUAAAUUUUAUUAUUUGUAUAUUUUUAUAAAUUUAAUUAUUAAUGAAUUUGGGUUCGAGUAAUUACAUACCCAUGAAGAGGAUUUUAAUAAUUUUUUUAUAUAAUGGGUUUUUAAAUGGGUUAAAAUAAUUAUAAGGUAGCGGGGAUGUCUUAAGGUUAUUAUAGGAUAGUGGAGAUGUAUUAGGGUUAGGGUUAGAGUAGUAAUUUUGAAAAAUAUUUUGGUAGCUAAUAGGGUUUGAGUACUUUAUUACUUAUAGGGUUAGAGUUCGGAUACCUCAAAAUUAGCAGGUACCCUACCGGUUAACAACCCUAAUUUUUGUUUGGAUUGAGAGUGUCCCACUGCAUGUGUGGCAUGAAGAAUUUUUUAGGUUCUUGGAGAUUUGUUGGGUUAAGUUUUUGAGGGUUGAUGAUCAUCCAUUAAAGCACAGGCGGUUUGACCAUGCUUGUGCGAUGGUGCAGGUCACAAGCAAGGCCAAUGUACCGGCCACAACCACGUCGAGGAUUCACAGUAUGGACUUCAGGUUGGCUGUGUUGAUUAUAGAUACUAAUGAGUUUGAAAAGGUAGCGUUGCCGGCGAAGGGUAUGGAGGAAUCUGCUGAUUCGGUGGUUUCAGUAAAUGUGUUUAUUGGUUGUGUUUCGUUGACCCCCUUUUCUUGUUCUGUUCCGAAAUAUUUUAAAAACUAUGUAUACUACUCUCUGGUUCCAAGUUAACUUUAUAAUUCAACAAGCAACAUUCAUGUUUGUGCUGAGUUCUUUUGUUUUUUUGGUUUUUGGUACCUAUAUGCCAGGUAUACUUUGUCAUUUUAUUUACUAUGCUAUUAUUCCCUCCAUCUUUAAAUAUGUCUUUAUUUAAUUGUCACAAAAAUUAAUCCAAAAGUAGGGUUCUCUAAACAUUUGACUUAUUGGUUGAUGUAUAAGAUCUCUCGCUUAAAGAGUAGGGUUCCUCUAAUUAUAAAAAAAAAAAUCUAAUCAGUUGGUGCCUCGUUUUCUCAAGGGAGAGUCCAAGCAAUGCUUAAAACUCACUUCUUUAAGGAAAAUGUUAAAAAGUGUAUGUUAAAUGACAAAUGGUAUUUUGAGUAAUAAGAUUAACAAUAAUUAGUUAACCAUUAGUUAUAAGAGCUCAUUUGGUUCAAAAUAAAAAAAGUAAGAGUUUAAUUGAAGAUAAUAAAAUAAAAACUUAUUUGAAUGUUUUUAAAUAAUUCGAGAGUUUUUUUUAAGUAUAUUGUUUAUAAAUCAAAUAGUUUUUUUAAUAUUUGAUUGAUUUCUAAGCUAUGUCAUUGUUUAGAAACGGAAGAUAAAUUAAUUUUAUUUUUUCAAGAAGAUAACCUUUUUUAUAUUAGGACAUUUUACUUGAAAUGUUUAAUUGGAAUAUACCUUUCCUCCAAUCAAGAGAAUGAAUGUGACUCUUUAUUAAUUUACACACAAAUCUCACAAUCGGAGCGAACACUAAGAGGGAUUCGCUCCAAACAUGGAAAACGUUUGGAGCUGAUCUCUCGACCUUGGGAUGUUUCGCAUGGAAGAAAAGAAGCAAAAACCACAAAAAUAUUAACCGGAUAAGAUAAAGGGUAGGCAUCCAACAAGUGGAUAAUUUAAUAAUUUGUAAUCAGCCUAACAAAUAUGUUAAGUGUAGAAUAUGUUGGUGGCCAAAAUAUGGAAUGUUUGUCUAGCAUGAUUGGGUAGGAUACUAGCUUUAGCUUCUCUGGAAGUCUCAAAGAGGUCAAAGUUCAAAACCAGAGUAUUGUCUGCCCGCCAACUGUAGAGAAGGGAACGUCUCCAUUUACUAAUCAAUAUUUUCUUACUGUCUUCUUCGGGCCGUCGAGGAUUCCUUGAAAGAAACGCCCUGGGAAAUACUAGACAAUGUGAUGACUCAAGUCUUCAUGAAACUUGACAAAACUCAGGAUCAUUUCAUGAAAAUCUUUCAACUCUCUUCAAACUCCGGAAUACCCUUUUCUGUCAGUACAACACUCUCCCUGUAACCAUCUUCAGCUACAUAAACCAUGCCUUGAGCAACCUUCAGAAUCCACCAAGCACCAGUCUUCUUCCCCUGUGGUGCUUUAAGUUUCUUCUUAACAAUUGUUGACUCUCAAAAACUAAGCUACCCUCAACACUUUCGUAUGUUGAUUUCUUUUGAAGUUUGCUUUAUAAAACAUUUUUGGUAAUCUAUAAUCUUAAGAGUUGUAAUAGCAGUCAAAAAAAAAAAAGAAAAAGAAAAAGCAUCAUGGCAUCAGCAUUGUCUGGAGAUGACCUUGCCAGGUCGAUGAGCAGCCCGUCAAUAAGCCCGAAAAUGAGUUUGGGUUCAGGAAGCAGAAGAGGUUGGGCUUCAGCUAGUAUCCGGGAGGCAUGGAAUAGUCAGACAGAUGUUUUCCAGAGAAGUGGGAGGGAAGAAGAUGAGGAGGAGCUCAAGUGGGCUGCCAUUGAAAGACUUCCUACUUAUGAUCGUUUGAGAAGGGGAAUGCUGAAGCAUGUUCUGGAUGAAGGAAAGGUUGGCUAUGAGGAAGUUGAUAUUACCAAUCUUGAUAUGCAGGACAAGAAGAAUCUCAUGCAAAGUGUACUAAGGGUUGUUGAAGAGGAUAAUGAGAGGUUUCUUCUUAGACUUAGAGAGAGAAAUGAUAGGUGACUUCCUAUAUCUAUAUCUCAUACUAGCCUGUUUCUUUUUUGGGAUUACAACAUUUAUCCUUUGAUAGUGCAGUAGUAGUUCCUCUUUCCUUACUUUUCUGAAAUUUUGAAUUAAUUUGGUUUGUCUAUUAAAAGAUGUUAUUCUUUCAUUGAAAAGGGUGGGAAUUGAUGUUCCAAGAAUUGAAGUAAGGUUUGAGCAUUUAUCUAUAGAAGGAGAUGCUUACCUUGGAACCAGGGCUCUUCCAACUUUGCUGAAUGCAACCUUGAACACAAUUGAGGUGAUUUCUCCUCUCCCCAAAUAAAUGCUCCUGUAAAUUGGAUUAAUGGAAUCUUGUUUAACAUUUUUAUAAGUUUUUAAAGAUGUUUCUGGAGAAAUUAUAUAUGUACAUAUAUACACUUCAAGUCCUAAGUUUGGAUUUGUACUGAUGAAAAAUUUUGUAAUGUUUUCUGAUAAAUAGGGAGCACUUGGCUUAAUCAAGCUUUUCCCUUCUAAGAAAAGAGUGGUCAAUAUUCUCCGUGAUGUGAGUGGAAUAGUGAAACCAUCAAGGUAUUGUUUUCAAUUUCCUAAGAUUAAGACAGCGUCAUGUUAAAUUUCUCAAUUACCAAUCAAUUAUUCAUGCUUCUCAAGAUGAUUAAAUCCACACGUUGAGCUUUCAGAUGAACUUCAAUUAAUUUGAAUUUUCCUAACAAUUUAUCUCAUUUUCUUUCUCUUACACAGAAUGGCUCUACUUCUAGGACCUCCAGGGUCUGGCAAAACUACAUUGCUGCAGGCACUUGCUGGGAAGACCGACACUGAUUUAAGGGUCUGUCAGCAUCUGUAGUUUAUGAAUGAGAUAUACAAUUAAAAACAUGACUUCCGAGUUCUUACAAGUUACAAUCUCAACAGUCUUUGGAUUUUUUACUUUUUUUUGUUUCUUUCUGUCCUUGUCCUUCACCUUUCUCAAUCCAUUCUUGAAGUUGCUUCCGAUUUAACAUUUUUUCUUUUAGCAUUAUAACAAGUCCUUACUGAAGUUUUAUUUUAUUUUUUUGGUUUAAUUUACCGAUGAAGAACCUUCAAUAUUUGAACAGGUAUCAGGAAAAAUCACUUAUUGUGGUCAUGAAUUUCACGAGUUCUUCCCGCAAAGGACAAGUGCUUAUAUAAGUCAACAUGAUCUUCACCAUGGAGAGAUGACGGUUAGGGAGACACUUGAUUUCUCAGGGCGGUGCUUGGGGGUGGGAACCCGAUAUGAUCUCUUGGCAGAGUUGUCAAGGAGAGAAAAACAAGCAGGGAUCAAACCAGACCCUGAGAUUGAUGCAUUUAUGAAAGCUACAGCAAUGGCAGGCCAAAAGACUAGUCUAGUUACUGACUAUGUGCUCAAGGUUUGUUUCAGUCAUUGCUUACUGGUUUCCUGUCUUCUACUUUCCUGCCCAACAAUAUUCUCAAGCUUAACUUUUUUAACUAUUACGUGGUAAUAGAUUCUCGGACUGGAUAUCUGUUCUGAUAUUAUGGUGGGUGAUGAAAUGAGAAGGGGCAUAUCCGGUGGACAAAAGAAACGUGUAACUACAGGUAAACUAGUUGAAGAUAAAUCUAUGUGAAGGGACUUGAAUUAUUUUUCUACUUAAAAAAUGAAAAGUUCAUUGAAACAAGGCUAUCAAUUAUUACAAAGUUUCUUGGUGAAAAGGUUAUCCUCUGUUUGUGAUGAUUGAUGCCAUUACCAUAAGGCCCUAGUGUUUCCUCCACACUUUGGCUGCUGAACAAUUCCUACCACACAACCAUAAGAGACUAAACUUCUGUUAUAGCAAUUGAAUUGGCAGUUACCAUUGGGGAAUUCCAAGCACUAAUCAUGUACUAUUUUUUAGUAGUCAAGUAUUCAUUCAGGAUAUUUACGCACAAUGUUUAAUAAGUUUUGUACAGAAUAAACUGAGAAAGGAGAUAAAUUAUUUCUAUGUACAUCAUGACAUCAACCAUAUAUGUUUUUUUUAGUGUUUCCUUAAUAUUUGAAGCGUUUUAUCAUUUGCAAAGUCCUUGUUGUGGCCAUUUCACUUUAUGAGAGCAGCCUAAGAGGAGUGACUUAUACAAAAUGCAGGAGAAAUGUUGGUUGGACCUGCCAAGGCUCUUUACAUGGAUGAGAUUUCAACUGGUCUAGAUAGUUCUACGACUUUUCAGAUUGUAAGGUUUAUGAAGCAGAUGGUGCAUAUCAUGGAUGUAACUAUGAUAAUCUCUCUUCUACAACCUGCACCAGAAACCUAUGACCUUUUCGAUGACAUUAUCUUACUUUCUGAGGGUAAGAUAGUGUAUCAAGGACCACGAGAAAAUGUUCUUGAAUUCUUUGAAAGUGUGGGAUUCAAAUGUCCUGAAAGGAAAGGAGUAGCAGAUUUCUUACAAGAAGUAACUUCUAGAAAGGACCAGCAGCAGUAUUGGUGCAGAAAGAAUGAACCUUAUCAAUAUAUAUCUGUACCAGAGUUCGUGAAGCAUUUCAACUCUUUCCACAUUGGUCAAAAGCUCGAUGAUGAACUUAGAAUUCCUUAUGAUAAGUCUAAAGCUCAUCCAGCUGCUUUGGUGAAAGAAAAGUAUGGAAUCUCAAACUGGGAACUUUUCAAGGCUUGCUUUGCAAGAGAGUGGCUUUUGAUGAAGCGCAACUCUUUCGUGUAUAUAUUCAAGACCACUCAAAUUACCAUUAUGUCUGUCAUUGCUUUCACAGUGUUUUUUAGGACAAAAAUGAAGGCUGGUCAUAUAUCAAAUGGAGUGAAAUUCUAUGGUGCACUGUUCUUCAGUCUCAUUAACGUUAUGUUUAAUGGGAUGGCAGAGCUUGCACUGACCAUAUUUAGGCUUCCAGUAUUCUUCAAACAAAGGGAUUUCUUGUUCUAUCCAGCAUGGGCCUUUGCCUUGCCAAUUUGGGUCCUGAGGAUCCCCCUCUCCUUGCUAGAGUCAGGGAUAUGGAUAAUCCUUACAUACUACACUAUUGGUUUUGCUCCAGCUGCUAGUAGGUAUGAGAAUGCACAAUAUUCAGUCACACAGAACAGUGGUUACUAUUUUCCAGCCUGUGGGCUAUGUCAAUCUAUAAUUGCAUUUCUGUUUCAGGUUUUUCCGUCAAUUCUUGGCGUUCUUUGGAAUUCACCAGAUGGCUCUCUCUCUCUUCCGCUUCAUUGCUGCAGUUGGAAGGACACAGGUUGUAGCAAACACACUUGGUACCUUUACUCUCCUGGUAGUUUUUGUCCUUGGUGGAUUUGUUGUUGCCAAAGGUUAGUACUUUUUGUCUUUAAAUUGCUUACACUUCUGUCUAGCCGAAAUGAGCCAUUUCCAAACGUAUUUGGUGCAAUAUAUUUGUUUAUGGUUGCAUGGAUAGUAAUGACAUAUAAAGAUUCUCAAGGUCUUUUGUCCUUGUUGAUAUUAUUGAUCCCAUAGCAGCUUUUCUAAUCUCUUUUUGCAGAUGACAUCAAGCCAUGGAUGAUAUGGGGCUACUAUGUCUCUCCCAUGUCAUAUGGACAAAAUGCCAUUGUCAUCACUGAAUUUCUUGACAAAAGAUGGAGUGCUGUAAGAUCUCCUAAGAUUAUGCAAAUAUUGUCCCCAUUAUAAUACAGUAUAUGUUACUAUUUGAUCUUGAUAUUUUCCAUACUUUGUCUAUUGCAGCCUUAUGUGUCACUUAAUGAAUCUACCACAGUAGGGAAGAUUCUUCUCAAAUCCAGAGGCAUGUAUACAGAAGAGCACUGGUAUUGGAUUUGUGUUGCAGCACUUCUUGGAUUUUCUCUGCUUUUUAAUCUCUGUUUUAUUGCGGCAUUGACAUAUUUGAAUCGUAAGCUACUAAACUCAUGCCAAUAUCCAUCUUUAUUAGCAAAGUAUGAUUCUGGUUUUGACAAUGAUUUGAAAAUGCAGCUCUGGGAGAUUCCAAAUCUGUUGUUCUGAGUGAAGAUGAUGAGAGUAAGAGCAAGAAGCAGUCAUCUUCUGAUGGACAGCAUAAUUUGAGAUCCAUAGAAAUGAGUAAACCGUCAACUGCUCCAUUGUUUGAAGGUUUGACAUGUUUUAACCUGACACUUCUAUCCUGAAAUUUAUGAGUAUUUUCGAAUACAAUCUUACUAGAAACAAUCUUCUGAUGGAACGUUUAUUUCAGAAAAUAAAAAUGAAGAAAAAAGUAGAAGGUUGUUUAUCUUUCUUCCAGGGAACUAUAUAUAUAUAUAUAUAUAUAUAUAAUAUUUCAUAUUUUAAAGAUGCCUGAUUGCUUUGUGGUUUUAGUAUGUGGAUAACCUUACAUUUGUUUAUUGGAAAGAACACUAGAGCUUACAAAUUAAUGUAAUACAAUGAAACAUGUUUUUCCUUGUGGUGAAGGAUUUAAGUGAAUGAUUGCAGGCACUGAUGAUAUGCCUUUGAAGAAUACUUCUGACAACUCAAUACUUGGUGCUGCAGACCAGGCACCUACAAAGAGAGGAAUGGUGUUGCCCUUCCAACCCUUGUCUCUUGCAUUUAACCAUGUGAAUUACUAUGUUGACAUGCCUGCUGUGAGUCCUUUCUCAAUAUAUGUUCUAUAGAGAAAUUUUACCUUAAGAUGGAAAAGAUGAAGAUCAUUCAACAAUUUUGUUGUUUCCUCUCACUUUUGUCCUAUGGCUGCAGCGUAAUCGUUUACACUAGCACCAUGUUUCUUCUUAGUGAUCUUCAUUUUUAUUCUACUUUGCAAUAUGUAUUUUAAAAGAAGUAAAUUGCUGUAUUACAUUGAUAUCUACCGAAGGAAAACAUUGAUGGUAAAAAUCUCUUCAUCAGGAAAUGAAGAGCCAAGGAAUUGAAGAGACCCGUCUUCAAUUACUGCGAGAUGUAAGUGGUGCUUUCAGGCCUGGUGUCCUAACAGCAUUGGUUGGGGUUAGUGGUGCUGGAAAGACCACCUUGAUGGAUGUGCUAGCAGGAAGAAAAACUGGUGGGUAUAUUGAAGGAAGUAUUAGCAUUUCUGGCUACCCAAAGAACCAAGAAACUUUUGCUCGGGUUAGCGGCUACUGUGAACAAAAUGAUAUCCAUUCUCCACAUGUUACUGUCUAUGAAUCCCUUGUGUACUCUGCGUGGCUUCGUCUUGCAAAGGAGGUUAAUGCAGAAACACGAAAGGCAUGUUUUUCUUUAACCCAGAUCUUACUAUAUCAUAAAAUGUAUACAAUCCUUUAAUUCUCUCCAUUCUUUUGUGUCAAUUGAAAAAGUAUAUUAUGUCUAGUCGCAGCUCAAAGUUCAAGAUAUGAUUUGAGUUCAGUGUUGUAUUCAUUGCAACAGAUGUUUGUUGAAGAAGUAAUGGAGUUGGUAGAGCUAAAUCUUCUCAGGAAUUCUCUAGUUGGCCUUCCUGGAGUUGAUGGCCUUUCAACCGAACAGAGAAAGAGGCUUACAAUAGCUGUUGAAUUGGUUGCUAAUCCAUCGAUCAUCUUCAUGGAUGAACCAACUUCAGGCCUGGAUGCUAGAGCAGCUGCAAUUGUCAUGCGUACUGUGAGAAAUACAGUGGAUACAGGGAGAACCGUGGUCUGCACAAUUCACCAACCAAGCAUAGACAUUUUUGAAGCUUUUGAUGAGGUAUUAUAGAUUUGUUAAAACCUGAAAGUAUCAGUUUAGAAAUCUUUCCUUCCUCUGUUUUUCAUAGUUCCCAUUGCAUUUGCUUAAUACGAUUUCCUUUUGACUGCAGUUAUUCUUGAUGAAGAGAGGAGGGCAGGCCAUUUACGCUGGACCACUUGGUCGCCAUUCUCACAAACUUAUAGAAUAUUUUGAAGUGAGAAUCAAUUCUCUCAUAUUGCAUCCAUGUUAACAUUGGCGUCAGAACUCUCACAACUUAAGUCCAUAACUUUCUGCAGGCUGUCCCAGGGGUUCCAAAAAUCAAAGAAGGGUACAAUCCUGCCACAUGGAUGUUGGAAAUUAGUUCAACUGCUGUCGAGGCCCAACUUGAUGUAGAUUUUUCUGAAAUUUAUGCCAAAUCUGAACUUUAUAGGUAACUGAGAUUGAACCUACUAUCUCACUGACUCCAGCGUUUUUGGCCUCUAUUUCCCCCUUUUUCUCCAUCUCUUCCGAGGCUGAAAUGAGUUUUUAACUUACCAGGAAAAAUGAGAAGCUUAUCCAAGAUUUAAGCACCCCGGUACCCGGAACUAAGGACCUUCACUUCUCCACCAAAUAUUCUCAAGACUUCUUUACUCAAUGUCGAGCCUGCUUCUGGAAGCAGCACUGGUCGUAUUGGAGGAAUCCACAAUACAAUGCCAUCCGAUUCUUCAUGACAGUUAUUGUUGGUAUCAUAUUUGGAAUGAUUUUCUGGGACAAAGGGGAUAAGAUGUAAGUCCAAAAUAUCUUAUUUAGUUAUCAUUGUGAUGGUAUUAUACAAACUACAGUCCAAUACACAAACAAAUACUUCAGAUAUUUAGGGUCUUCUCUCCUUACCCAAUACUGUGAAAAUGCCUUGACUGAACCUUGCCGUUAAAGAAUCCUGCAUUCAUGUGAAAUAAUUUCCAAAACAUUUGUGCUUCUGUCCCUUUGUAAGUUAAACUUCAAUAGUCAUGGAUGAAAUGGUUGUAAGUCCUAUAAUGCGUUGUAGUUAAAGACACCAGAUAAGUUGCAUGCUCUUUCCUACACUUCUACUAGUUUUCGGGAAAGGUUUGAAAUAAUAAAAUGUUUGUUCUAAGAAGUAUCAAAUCUGAUAACAGCUGGUCGUAUUAUUUAAUUCUGCAUUGACACAUAACAGUCCUGUUAUUCUUGGUCAUUGAGAAGUCAGUAGCAUAUAUCUGUGGGAACAGAAAUAUGAAUGGCAUCUCCUAUCAGGAAAACAUUUUAUUUGAUUUCAUUUAGGAUAAUUUUGCAAACGUUAUUUGAACAGACACAAGCAACAAGAUCUAAUGAAUCUGCUGGGAGCUAUGUACUCUGCUGUCCUUUUCCUUGGCGCCACCAACACUUCAGCAGUACAAUCUGUCGUGGCAAUUGAAAGAACAGUGUUUUAUCGUGAAAGAGCAGCUGGAAUGUAUUCACCAUUGCCUUAUGCAUUUUCUCAGGUAAAAGAAGCUGAAAUUUUAGCAUUAGAUUGAUCUUAAUAAUUGACACUCCAUUCCUCAAAUGCACACUCAAAAUAAUUUAGGGGAGAAAAUCAGGACAUAAGGGCAUAUAUAGCUGAUAUAACUAGUGUUGUGUUAUGCCUUGCAGGUGGCAAUAGAGGCAAUAUAUGUUUCAAUCCAAACAUUGGUGUAUAGUUUACUGCUUUACUCAAUGAUUGGAUUCCACGUAGAUGUUGGAAAGUUCUUGUUGUUCUACUACUUCAUAUUGAUGUGCUUCAUGUACUUCACACUCUACGGGAUGAUGCUUGUAGCUCUCACUCCUAACCAUCAAUUUGCUGCCAUUGUUAUGUCCUUCUUUCUAAGCUUCUGGAACCUCUUUUCUGGUUUCCUCAUCCCUAGGACGGUAUGUAUUAAAAGAUGAAAGCAAUCAUUUUAAUGCUAUAUAUGUUUUAAUCUCACUUCAAUUUAAUUGCUAAGCAUUUCAUUUUUUUUUCUUCUCUUUUAUUAGAUCAUGAGAGAAAAACUGAACUGUAACAUUUGAAUAUUUGUAGGAAAUUCCAAUUUGGUGGAGGUGGUACUAUUGGGCUUCUCCAGUCGCAUGGACAAUCUAUGGCCUUGUGACUUCCCAAGUGGGUGACCAACUUGCUCUUGUUGACAUACCAGGAGAACUCCCACUGACAGUGAAGGACUACCUUGAGGCACACCUAGGGUUUGACUAUAGUUUCCUUCCAGCAGUUGUUGCAGCCCAUAUUGGCUGGGUCCUUCUCUUCUUAUUUGUCUUUGCCUAUGGAAUCAAGUUCCUUAACUUCCAAAGGAGAUGAGAAAAUGCCCAACAUUUUCUUUGUGCAUGAAUAAUUGUGCAAAGGGGGGAUUUAUUAAUGUCUAUUGUUUGUUUAUCAUAAAAAAUUUGUAUAAUCCGAACAGUUGGGGUGCUCACAUCCUCCAUUGUUCUUUGAUUCCAAUAAAAGAUAUUCUCUUAUUAUUGUCUACCAGGGUUCUUCAUUCUCCCUCUUAGUAUAUUCCUUUCUUAGGAGCAAGCUAGAAACAAAACAGAUCAGCUUUCUUGCUGUUGUAUCCAUUUGUGAUACUCCCUCCAUCUUCAAACUCAAGGUAUUCAAAAUUAAGCUAGAAAUUAAGGCAUCUCUACUGAUAUCAUGUACUCAUCAACAACGUUUUUUUACUAACGUAUACAACCUGCUUCGAUCCAUUUUACUGAGUUUAAUAAGAUAUUAGGCUUUACUUGAUCUAACAACUGAAAACUCCUGUUCUAAUAGUUUAAGUUGAAUAUUUCUGAUCUUGUAAUAAUAAUAAACUAUUCCUAACUUUAUUCAAAACUACUAAUUGCUAUUUAUUGUUAGAAUAGUUAAAGCAUUCCAUGUUAUAACACUAUAACUAUUCCUUAUGAUAAUAAUAAAUCAUCUAUUCCUAUUUUUUCCUUGGUGAAAGUAGCCAGAAUUUUCAGCUUUAAAUGUCAUCUGUUUCUGUUCCAAAAACACAUAACUAAGACUUGCAUUUUUUAAGACCUCCUCGAGCCAUGUCAGUAGCUAAUGGUCCAUAGUUCACUGUUUUUGUAGUGUGACACUUACCUAUUGUUAUGCCUAUUACAAGUAUGACUGAUAUGGUACUUAAGCCUCUCAUGAAGUGUAAUAGUGUGUGGAGGGACGCCCCUAUCCUAUUUUUGGUUCUUAGAUCAGAUUAAGAAUUCAGACCAAGAUUAACAAGCAAUGAAUCAAGUAAUCUGGUUUCCAAGAUAAGUUUUAGUGUUUAUAAGUCAUGGGUAGUUUAGUAAUUUUUCAAUUCAACUUCUGCAACCAAGCAUCCAUUUAUGAAAAUUAAUAGACCUGAGAUAAAUUAAGACAAUAUUUAAAGUUCUAGGUGCAUUUUAUCCUAAUAAUAAGUAGAGGAAAUUGUGAGAAAUGGUCCUUCUUAUAAGGUGAUUUCAGAAAUAACCAUCCAUAUAAAGUUAUCUAUUUCUAGCCAAAAAGAAGCAUGAGUAGACCAAAAUGCCCUUAAAAACAUCGUGGCAAAUUAAGCUCCUGAUAUAUCCCCCCCGCCAGAAAGAAAAUAGAAAUAAAUGCUCAAUUGUUUGAACUCGCUCAUCUUUCUCUCUCAACUCUCUAAACUGUAUCAACUCUGUCAACUCUCUGUUGAGCACCAUUGCCAUUAGCUCUCUCAGCUCUCUGAACUGUAUGAGCUCUGUCAACUCUUUGUUAAGCACCAUCGUCAUCGGGCUGUGGUCUAUCUCUAGACAUCUGGUCAUAUUAUCGUUGAUAAACAAACCCUAUAGCAGAGAUGACAUCAAAGUAUGUUAUUGGGUUUAUUAUUGCAACAAAUAAAUUUCUGAAACUUUUUGUGUAAAUUAGAACAUGGAUUAGAAACAUUGCCCAGAGUUGUUACAUGCCAUGCAUCUAUAACAUAUGUUAGUGUUAUUUUAGCGUGUCACGACAUUGGUUAUUUUAGGGUAGUUCGUGUAAUGAGUCAGUAAUUACACUGAUUGGCGUGUCACAUGCCAUGGGUAUUUUAGGCUAGUACGUGUAAGGAGACAAUAAUUAUAGUGAUUGGCAUGUCAACGUUGGCGUGUAACAACAUUUGACUUGAUAUGCAUGGAGUGUAACAACAUUUUGACUUGAUAUGCAUGGCGUGUAACAACACUUUACUUGAUAUGCAUGGCAUGUAACAACAUUUGACUUGAUACACAUCGCUUGUUGGUCUUAAGUAAAUGUGCUAGAAGGGGGUGAAUAGCACUUUUUAGCUUUUGGCAAGAUGAGGAACUAAUUUAAAAAGCAAUGAAAAUAAAAACAAAGUAGAGAAUACGCAGGAAUUUAGAGUGGUUCGGUCCAAGACCUACAUCAACUACCUUGAUUAUUCAACAAAAGAUUUUCCAAACUAAUCUACUAUGAACAGGUGAAAUUCACAAGCUUUCACAAAGCUUUUACAAUGGCUUUUACCAAGUUUAGCCAAAACCUUUCACAAUAGUUUUUACUGGGAUCAACUAAAACCCAAAGUGAUUUUUCAAAAGCUCAACCACAACCUUUCACAAUGGUUUUUCACGGGUUCAACCAAAACCCAAAGUGGUUUUUCAAAGGCUCAACCACAACCUACAACAAUGGUUUUUUACGGGAUCAACCAAAACCCAACAACUAACUUUUCAAGGCUAAGUUAGAACCUAUACACUCAAUCAAGCAAUCCAAGCUUGAAUAAAUCCCUUAGAGUGACUCACUCACUCUAAGAAUACAAAGAGAGAAGUGAUAAGAGUGUACCUAUGAUCACAAGGUUGAUCUAAGUGGUACAAAGUGAAGUGUAAGUCACAAUUACAAAGAUAGGAGUUGAGAGCUGUAAAUGAGCAAAGAGUAUUUGUAGGUUUUUCAGCUGUUUUGUGUUCUUGGAAGCCUUCAUUCUAUUUUUCUAGCCGUUGGAAGUCCAUUUUAUACUUGGAAGAUCAAUUCUGAUGUGAGUUAGACAGUUUUUGACCGUUGGAAACAGUUUGGUAUCAAUUCUGGUCGUUAAUCUAUCUUCUAAUGGGCAAUUCAAAUUUUCUGGAAAAAUGCUCUUAGCCGACUAACUUAUGUCUUGGUCGAUUAAGUUGUUUCUGUUUUCUUUUUCUAGUAUCUGGCAAUGAGCACUUAGUCGACUAACUUACUUCUUGGUUAACUAACUUGGUUUUGUCUUUCAAUACUCUUCAGCUCGCCAGCUUCUGGUUUGAAUUUUAGCUGACUAACUCUUCAUUAAUCGACUAAGGGGCUUCUGUCUUGUUGAUCAAUUGUGACUUCCUUAUUCCUAUGCUCUUUGAUAUGUGCAUUUGAGUGAUUUAUUAAUUUUUGCAUACAAUAUUUGUCCUGCACACUCAAGUAGAGAUAUUAGACACAAAUGAAUGGGAAUGUUUUAUUAUCAUCAAAAACUAAUGGAGCCAACAAUCUCCCCCUUUUUGAUGAUGACAAAACAUUCCUUGGUUAACAGCUCAGUGUCCUUUUAUUCUUUUUAGUUCUGCUCAAAAUGGAGGUUUUCCUCCCCCUAAGUGUGUGCUCCCCUUUAGUGUGUGCAUAGUUUUAUUAUCCAUUUCAACAUGUUUUUAUUCUUGUAAUACAGAAAAUGACAUGUAAGGGUUCAAAUUGAUGAUAGAAUAUAUUUAUACAAGCUUAUGGAAUAAUAAGCAGUAAGUGACAGGGUGACAGAACAUUAUUAUUAUUUUAGCUUGCUGGCUAUCAUAUUGUUUCCAAACUUAAUUCAUUCCAAAGCUACAUGCCAUAAACCAUCUAGUAAAAAAUAUCAGCAUUCAUAUUUAUUUUCAUCUCAAUUUCACUCACAAUAUCAUAUCAACAAUUAAUUGCCAGCAUAACAGUUCAAUAUCAGCACCAAAUCUUUAAACAACAACAGAAACUCAAUAACAGCUUUAAAUAUUCAAUCAUCAGCUUAUCAGCAUUGCAUUCAUUCACAAUCCAACCAAAAUAUCAUGAGAAUAAGUUUUCAGUGCAUUAUUAGAAUAAGUUUUCAACACAUUUUCAGCAUCAGUUAUCAGCAGAAGAACAAAAUAAAUAAGCAGUGUCUCAGCACAAUGAUUAGUAUUCAAUUUUUAACAACCUACCAUAGACUAACUAUCAUAGACAAUUUAGUCAAAUUCAACGCCCUAAAUUUCUCCUAGAUUUCUGGUACCUCUACCCUAACAUUUUUUUUAAUUUAUUUUUGUCAAGCCCUACCUUAUAAAAUACUUGCCAUGUCAUUUAUGUGGUUGACAAUAUGCUUGCAUACUUGGAAAGCUCUGAAAAAUCAUCAAAAGACGGUAGUGUACCUAGUGGUGCAACUAAGUUGAAUUAAGCCUCGAGCUAGACCAAAUAAAGAUUUUAAGAUGAAAUUUAGAAUUUUAAAUUCCUAGAAUGAUUUAAUAUGGUGAUUCAGAGUUCGAGAACUGAUUUGGAGUCAAAAUGUAAUUUUCAUGACCUAGGGGCAAAAUGGUCAUUUUGCCACUCGAGGUUAAGAUGUGAGUGUUGGAUGAAAUUUUUGACUAAGAUUGAUCAUUUGGAGUAUAAUUUGAGUUUGAGAAGUGAAGAAUUUUAAUUUCGGUGUUUUUUCGAGGAUAAGGGCAAAAUAGUCAUUUUGCCACCCAAGGGCAAAAUUGUAAUUUUACACACCCAACACUUGUCAUGCCCAUGGAUUUCAUCCAUUAACAUUUUAUAUUGUGGAUAAUUGAAAUAUUUUAUGUUGUGGAGAAAGAAAGCUUAAUAGUUAAGAAUUUAAAAAUGGACCAAUGGUAAGGUGACAAGUGUCAAGCUUUUAUUUCUUUAUUAUUUUCCCUAUAAAUUAGCACAAAACCAGCCCAUGUCUCUUCAUUAUGGUCGGCCUCACCAAGGAAAAGCAAGAAAAAGAAAGAACAAAACCCUAGGUGGAAAAAUUCAAGGGAAAAGUGUGAAAAUUCAAAGAAACAAGUGAAAAAAUGUAAGAUUUUUCAAUUUAAGCUUGAGAUCUCUCUUUCUUAAGCAUUUUUUCUUAUUUUUCAUGGUUAAAUCACAUGAAAUCAUGAUGAAUCCUUUGUUGGCCGAACACUUAGAGGGAGGUUUUGUUGUUUGAUUUGGUUAGAUUUCAAUGUAUUUUAGUGUUUUUAGUUAGUUAGUGAUGUGUAGUAUGAAAAGCCAACAAGAAAAAUUCACUUCCUUCUAUCACCUAUCAUUGGCCGAAUUUUCCAUGUAGAGUGUGUAUGGUGGAUUUGAUUUUAUUUCAAGUGAAUUGGUUAGGAAAUGAUGAAUUACGGUGAGAAAAUCAAGUAGGAAAAAUCGUAGUGUUGAUGCACCCACCAUGGCCGAAAUUUCCAAGGGAAAAUGUGAAGAUGAUUUUGCUAAAUUUUAUGCUAUUUGACUUGUGUUUGAUGGUUUGGAGAAUUGGAAGAAAAAUGGAGUUAAUUGGAGUUUAAUUGGACAUAUUGGCCAAUUAAUUGAGUGAUAGAUCGAAUUAGGCCAAUACCGUUUUAUUUAGGUACACAAUUGAAUUUACGUAGAACACCGUGUUUAGACGAUAAUCCGAACAAUUUGCAUUCCAUUUCAUGCAUCCAUAUAGUUUUAUAAUGAUUUAGCACCAAUGUGGUAAAUUGCUUGAUUGUGCAUUAUGUCUAGGUGGUGAAUCCUCCGAUAAGGGUAAAGAUAUUGUACCCAAGGAUCGAUAGUCGGAGUACUCUAAAAAUUCGACUCCCGAAAUAGUGAGUAACUGUAUCAUCAUUUUAAUUAUCUAAAGUGGUCUUUUUAUUUGAUUUUGUGAAUUUUAUGAAAAAUGUGAUUAAAUGAAAUGAUUUUAUAAAAUAGUCUUGAAAUUUAAUGAUGGCUUUGAAAAUAGAGUAAUUGGAGACCAUUUGAUGUAUUGUGAAUUUAUGGUUCUAAUUGAUCGGCUUAUGGUAAUAUUGGCAUGAAUGGUUGAAUUGGAAUUUGUGUUGAAAUUGUAUAAACUGUUGUUUGCCUUGAUAGGCUGGAUAAUGAUAAAAUUGCCAUGUCAUGCUGUUGAAUUUUUAUUGUAUGGUGGGUUUAGCUUGCUGCAGUGGGUGAGUUCUAUGGACCAGCCUAUUAGAGGGGCACGAAAUCCGAUUAUAUAUGUACCUCGAUCAGAGAGGUGUGUAGGGUAUCUCCUGAGGUAUGGUUAGAGUUCACGUCACGUCUAACCACCUCGUGAUGAUGAACUUUGCUAACGUUAAGGAACGGCUGUGUUUUUCAAACUAAAAAUAUGUUUACGUGUAUACGAAAUUUUUAACAGCCUUGGCGUACUCGGUUAGAUGCCUCGACCAAGGUAUUCCCGAGAAUGAUUUUGGCAGGAGCCAAACUUUUAAGAUACUCAUAAGCCAUGUUGAUUAUUUAAAUGAAAUGAAUAUUUAUGUUAUGAAAUACAUAUUGAGAUGGAAUAUUUUAAUCGUCUCCAUUUACUCGACUUUAGAUAUUUUGGAUGAUGUUUGUUUACUCACUGGGAUUAUAUAAUUUCACCACCCUCUUUUUCACCCAUUUCAGGCUCAGGAUAGUUUGUAGAUAGCUGAUAUCAUCGAAGGCUACAGUUGGCUUUACUUCUUCAAAAAUCGUAGGUUCACAGCCUUCGUUCACUUUUGUCAUUUGGGCGCUCACGUGUCAUUGUAAAUUAAAUUAUAUAUCUUGACUAUCUGUAUUACAGUAUGUAUGAAUUUAUUUCGCUUUUAUGCUACAAAAAAUUUCUUACAGAUAACUCUAUAAAAAUUAUUUUAUAAGAAAAUGGAAUAUUUUAUUGAAUAUUUUUAUUAUAUUUAAAUAGUCAUAAUUUCACUUUUAAAUGAAUGUUUUAAACAUCUAAACUUAUUUUUGAUUAUGAAAUAUGUGUUUUGCAUUCGCAUACUACAUUAUUAGCUGGUUUCGAAAUUUUCAGGGAAAAAUGAUCAAAAUACCCUUGAGAGACGAAAAUUAUUUUUUUAUUGUUUUAGCUUGGAAAUAGCUUAUAAUUUUUUAAAAUAUGAUAUUAGCAAUUGUUGCUCACAAGGGAAGCGAAAAAACUGAUGUUAAGCCUUACGAGGUUUCGAUUGACAUUCUGGGUGAUGAAUGUCGAUCGGGACAUCGCGACGAUUGUCACGGGCUCGAUGGAAGUUUCGAGUUGUGACAAUUCUCCCUUUCCCUUAGCUUUCCACUUCUCGUAGCUUUCCGUUUCUCCCCCUUUUUGGCAUCAUCAAACCAAGGGGUCCUCAUUUUUCUAUAGAGGCAAAGGGGGUGGAUUCAGGAGUUCUAAGGUCAAUAGCAAGGGGUUGAGGAAAGGUUGCAAGUGGUGAUUUAGGUGGGGAGGGUUUAAGUGAGGAUUUGUUAGAAACUUCUAGUGGAAUAUGAGGAAAAGAAAUGUUUGCUGGUUUGACUCUUUCAGCUAGCCGUGAGGAUCUUCUUUUUUUUAGAAAUUUUGUUUUGGUGGCCAUGGUUUUUUAUCCCUUUUCUUGGUGGUUUGGAUCUGGUUUGUGGAGCAGUAGUGAUUUUUUCUUUUCCUUUUCCAUAUUGCCCUUCUGUAGUAUGAGUUGGUGCAGAUAUGGCUUGUUGUGUUUUUGCUUUAGCUACUUCUUUUUCGAGUAGCUCUUUUUUGACUAUCUGUUGGAAAAGAUCCAUGAUCGAUAUUUCUUCAGACUUGGGAGGUGAAGACUGUUUUGGGUGUGGUUCUUGAAUAGGUGGAGAGUUGCCAUCCAGAGAUCCUAGAACUUUAGUCCUCUUAUCUGAUCCUUUUUCCUUCUUAAGCUCAGCUUCAGGGUCAAUCAUUGGUUCAACAUCUUUAUCUUGAGGAAUAGGGCCUGCAGAACUCUCAACCUGGAAGGCAAGGCCUUCAGAAGAUUGCCCUGCUGGUGUUGGGCUUGGAGUUGCUGAGGUGUCCUCAACUGCAGGCUCAACAAUAGAUUUCCCUUUUUCCUUCAUCAUAUUUUCAAGCUCUGCAAGUCUUUCUUCCAUUUUCACCAUUUUUGAAGAUUGCUCUGUAAGCUUCCCAUCUAUUCUCAUCAAUAGAUUGAAAAUCAUUUCACUGGAAAAUGGUGAGGGUGUUGCCUUUAUCUGCGUUGGUAUUGCAGAGACCUUGGGUGUUUUAGUAAAUUUCUCUCCAUCUAUCUUGUAACCCAUCUUUGGCAGACUACCUAGGUAGAUAGCCUGGUCUCUACUCUUUACCAAGUCCAUUUCAUACUCUUUAGCCCAAAUACCUUUCUUCUGUACUAGUGAAGUAACGAUAUUUCCAUAUGGCAGAUUUAUCUUGUCCCCUGUACAGGUUCUUCUCAUUCUUUUAAUCAUAAAUCGACCUAGAUUCAGGAGAGUACCAUUGAAUGCAUGUUCCAUUAGCCAUAAGUCUGGAAGGCUAAUGUAGCUAAAACUGCCACUUCUGCCAUGAAUGUUUGCUACUAUAAAGUAAUGCAAAAUCCUAAUUUGAGGACUAGUAAUCAGACCGGCAUUACUUUUUGAGGAGUAUUUUUCUUUCUUCCUUGUAAUUAUUUCCCACAGGGAGGAUAGGUCAUAAUUUUCAGGGAAUUCAAACUCACGUUCCUCACAUUCGAUUUUAAGUAAACUCCCUAGAUCAGCAGCCGUUACAACAAAUUCCUUACCAUUCAUAAACACAUUUAGACCAUGAUCAAUAUAAUCAUCAGAAUCUUCAAGUUGCUCAUUUCCUAAUGAAAUACUUGCAUAAAACUCUUUAACCAAAUAGGCACUGUAAGAUCAAUUCUUAAAGGUACUAUACUUCUUCAGUUUUAAUUCCUUAAAAUAAUCAGAUAAACUUGUUUGAAUUUUUGGGGUUUCAUUGAAACUAUCCCAGUCUAUGAAUUUACCACAGGAAAUUGGGGCAUUUUCUAUUUUCUCGUAUCUAUCCUCAUGAGCCUUAUUCUUAAACUUGGAGGAUGAGGAGUUACCUUUCUUAGAUGCUUUUCCCUUCUCUUUCUUCUUCUUUGUUUUGUGACCCUUCAUGAUCAGCGUUUUUCCAGAUUUUUCAAUUCUAGAUGCAUGUAAAAUCUUUUUCUUCUUCUUCUGCAUUUUGAUUUGUGAGCUUUCCUCUAGUGGCCUCUUCUCCUUUUUCUUUUCCGGGGUUUCUUUAGCUUGCCCUAAUUUGGCCAUUUGAUUUGAGGGAUUUUCUGACUAAGGGUUUCGAGAAUUUGAGAUGAGAGGGUUUCAGUUUUAAGUGGGUUGGUUUCAGAGGAGAGAAAAUGUAGAGGAAAUGAGUUAAUGGGCAGUUUGAUUUUCCCAAAAACCGUUUGUCUCCCCCUUAAAUAUUGUCAGUUUUUCUCCUAUUCAAAAUUCAAACUUUGCCUUCUAUUUUAUUUUUCAUCUAAGCAGUAUUUUCUACCCAUUCUCUUCACCCGAUAUACUGCUCUUGUUCACUAUUUUAUUCUUUUUCUCUCUAACUCACUGAGUCUUAUUAUUUAAAGUGACAGAAUGCUCUUAGUUGACUAAGUGAUUCUUUUAGUUGACUAAGUGCCUACUGUCCUUUGAGAAAAUUUCAUAAUUUUUCCUAAAGCUCCUGCAUACUAUCCAUUCCUAAAUUUCUUCUAAUCUCAUAGAAUUUAUCCUUAUUUAAAGGUUUUGUGAAUAUGUCAGCUAAUUGAUGUAAAGUAUUUACAAACUCGAUUUUAAUGUCACUUUUCACUAUAUGAUCUCUACCAAAAUAGUGCCUAAUCUCAAUAUGCUUAGUCUUAGAAUGCUACAUAGGAUUUUUUGAAAUGUUGAUUGCACUUGUAUUGUCACAAUAUAUUGGUAUGUUAUGCAUUGAAAUUCCAUAAUCUUUUAGUUGUUUAAUCCACAAUAUUUGAGCAUAACAACUGCCUUGAGAUACAUAUUCGGCUUCAGCUGUAGAGAAAGCAACUAAAUUUUGCUUUUUGCUUGACCAUGACACAAGCAUACUACCUAGAAACUAGCAGGUUCCACUAGUGCUAUUUCUAUCUGUUUUGCUACCAGCAAAAUCAGCAUCUGAAUAUCCAACUAAGCUAAAGGCUGAUUUUUUAAGGUACCAUAUGCUUGAAAUUUGUGUGUCUAUGAGGUAUCCAAAAAUUCUUUUAACAGUAGUCAUGUGUGAUUCUUUGGGUUGAGAUUGAAAACGAGCACACAAACACACACUGAAUUGGAUAUCAGGCCUACUGGCUGUUAAAUAAAGAAGUGAUCCGAUCAUACCUCUAUAGAGCUUUUGAUCAACAUCCUUUCCUUUUUCAUCUAAAUCAAGUCUGGUGGAUGGACUCAUUGGUGUACAAAUUGAUUUCAGCUUUAGCAUAUCAAACCUUUUGAGCAUGUCUUGAGUGUAUCUUUCUUGGUUGAUGAAGAUUCCUUUCUCACUUUGUUUGAUUUGAAGCCCAAGAAAGUACUUCAGCUCACCCAUCAUGCUCAUCUCAAAUUCACCUUGCAUUUCUUUAGCAAAGUUCUUGCAUAAAGCCUCAUUAGUUGCACCAAACAUAAUGUCAUCCACAUAAAUUUGAACAACAAUUAAAUCAUUUAAGUAUCUUUUGAUAAACAAUGUUGUGUCAAUACUACCUCUAACAUAACCUUUUUCAACUAGAAAUUUUGAAAGCCUCUCAUACCAAGCUCUAGGAGCUUGUUUCAAUCCAUACAAGCCUUUAUGAAGUUUGAAAACAUGAUCUAGUUUUUCAAAGUCCUCAAAACCGAGGGGUUGCUCAACAUAAACUUCUUUUUUGGAUGAAACCAUUUAAGAAUGCACUCUUUACAUCCAUUUGAAAUAACUUAAAAUUCAUAAAGCAAGCAAAUGCAAAUAAUAAUCUUAUAGCUUCUAUCCUAGCAACCGGUGCAAAGGUUUCAUCAUAGUCUAUUCCUUCCUCUUGGUUGUAUCCUUGUGCUACCAACCUAGCUUUAUUUCUAACAACAUUUCCUUGCUCAUCUACCUUAUUUCUAAACACCCAUUUUGUUCUAACAAUAAGGUGGUUUAUAAGCCUAGAGACUAAUGACCAUACAUGGUUUCUUUUAAAUUGAUCAAGUUCCUCUUGCAUGGCCAAUAUCCAGCUUUCCUCUUUUUCUGCUUUCUCAAAUGUCUUAGGCUCAAUUUGAGAUAUGAAAGCUGAAAACUCAGAAGUCUCUCUUGUUGCUCUCCUAGUUUUGACACCUUGUGAAAUAUCACCUAUGAUUAGUUUUUGUACGUGGUCUUUUGCAUAUGUCUAACUCCUUGGAAGGUCAUUAUGCUAAUUUUCAGUUUUUUGCAGGGUUUCUAUGGGUGGAGGUUGUUCUGUUUCUCUUCCUAGGGAAUUUUCUUCAUUGUUUUUCUUAUCAUCUAAACUUAUUUCUUCCAUUUGUUUUUUUAAGAUCAUCCAUAUCAUGCUCAUCAUCAGAAAUUUCCUUUUGCAAGGUAUUGGAUUCAUCAAAAACUACAUGGAUGGAUUCUUCAACUGUUAAAAAUCUUUUGUUGAAGACUCUAUAGGCUUUUGAGUUUAUUGCAUAUCCUAAAAAUAUAGCUUCAUCACUCUUUGCAUCAAACUUUCCUAAAGGCUGUUUACCAUUGUUCAAUACAAAACACUUACAGCCAAAGCUCCUAAGGUGAGAGAUAUUUGGUUUCCUACCCUUGUAAAGUUCAUAUGGAGUCUUUGAUAUCAUUGCUUUAAUAGACACUCUAUUGAGGAUAUAAGCUGCUGUGUUAACAACUUCUGCCUAAAAAUAUUUAGGUAGAUUAUUCUCACAUAGCAUAGUUCGAGCCAUUUCUUUCAAGGUUCGGUUUUUCCUCUCUACAACUCCAUUUUGCUGGGGUGUUCUAGGUGCAGAAAAAUUAUGAUCCAACCUCUUUUCAUCACAAAAAUUCUCAAAUUCAUCUUCUUCAAACUCACCUCCAUGAUCACUCCUAAUACUAACUAUAGCAAGUCCUUUUUCAUUUUCAACGUUUCCACAAUGACUUAUGAAUGCUGGUAGAGCAUUAUUCUUAUGAGCAAGGAAGUAAACCCAAGUAUACCUAGAGUAGUCAUCAACUAUUACAAAGCCAUAAGAUUUUCCUCAUAGACUAAUUGUAUUUAUUGGACCAAUAGAUCAAUAUGCAGCAAUUCAAGAGGUCUAGAUGUGGAAACAACUUUCUUGGUUUUAAAGGAUGUUCUAACUUUUUUUUCUAGUUGGCAAGCAUCACAUAUCUUAUCAUUUUCAAACUUAAGAUUCGACAGUCCAACAACUAAAUUUUUUCUAAUCAACUUUGACAUGGUAUGCAUGCUCAUAUGUCCUAAUCUCCUAUGCCAUAACCAACUAUCAUUUUCAGCAUUUGCUACAAGACAUAUUUGACAAUCCAUUUCAAGAUCCUCAAGAAAUACACAUACAUAUUUUUUAAUCUUCUUCCUAUAAAUAAAACUGUCACGACCCAAUUUCUCGGGCAAUGACCAGCGCAUGAGCUCAAUGAGCAUAGCUCACUAAGCCCAAGCAAGCCUAUCCAUUUACCUUUGCUUAACAAAUUUAUCAUAUCAUGCAUACACACACACCUUUUCUCGGGUGUGAACAUAGCCAAAACACAAUGGCAUUAUCGAUAAUAAUAUUCAUACACUAUACCAGUCAUGUAUUUAGCAAUUUACAUUGCAUACACAUAUUCACAUUGUUAGAUUGUAUUCACAAUACAAAAGGACCCAUGACUUCCAGCGGAGACAUUUACAAUAAAAGGGAUUACUAUCGAAUGCCAGACACAUACCCAGGAGAUGCACUACGGGGACUCCUCGAUCUAGGGUCCAACAGUCACCUGAUCUGAAAACAUGAAUUUUUAUAAAACGUGAGUACAAUACUCAGUGAGUGAACAAGGAAGGGAACAAGCAACAAUUAGGGAGAAUUUAAAAUCAUGAAGCACUUGUUUCAAAACAAUGCAAUUUAGUUCAUUCCUAUUUAAAACCCCUCCAAACCCGAGAGUUUCUCGCUACAGCGAGCAUGAAUUUCGCUGCAAUGAAAACAGAGCAACAAGAGAAACAUUUUUUCUCACUCAACAAAAAGCCAUCCUGCUAAACUAAUAAAAUCAACAUAAAAUUCAUGAAAAUUCUCAAAGUAUAAUGUGUCAAAUUUCACGUACAUUACAACCAUAAAUCAUUGUCCAUCAAUUUGCUAUAACACACACAUUUACAUAUGUAUAUAUAUAUAUACCCAUCAUCAUCAUCUCACCAACCCAUCAUCAUCGUCACCAGCUCAUCAUCAUCAUCACCAGCUCAUGCGCACUCCCUACUCGCACAUGGCUGGGUCAUCACCGGGUUAUGCGCACUCCCUACUCGCACAUAACCGGGUCAUCCUCGGCUUAUGCGCACUCCCUACUCGCACAUAGCCGAGUCAACAUAAUUACACAACAUUAUAUUCAAGCAUAUAUGUAUAUCAACAUAAUGCAGCCACAUAGAAAUCCAUAAUAACCACAUUUCAUAACAUAAACCUUUUCUCAAAAGCUUGUUCCCAAGGCAUUCAUUUUCAUGAAAAAUUGCAUAAAAUCAUUCAAACACUUUGUUCAAAACAGUCAUAUUCCCAAAACAAUUUUGAUAGGCAGUCCACUCACAGGUGUCGAAAAUUCGGAUUCCGGGUGAACUCUGACUAAUAGUCCUCAAGCGUAAUUCCUUUGCCUUUUCCGGACGUCUCACCACCUUGACAAAUAACAAAGUCGAGGAAUUUACUAUAUUGUCCCUAAAUUGAUAUAAAUUAAUUUAAACUACUAAUGCUUGAUAUGUAAAUGCAAAAAUAUGUCCGAUUACCGCUUAAUCACGGUAUCGAUUAAAUUCGACCGAUCACCCGAUUAAUCGGCGAUUGUGUCCAAAUCACCUCCAAAUUAAUUCAUUUCUCCUCUAAUACCUUAAUUUACCACAUACAUUUAAAUAAAGCCAAAUUCAGCAUUAGAACCCUCACAAUUCCUUAUAGAAAAAAUUUGGUCAUUUGGUGUACUAGCAUCGAAUUUUUUUCUACAUAACCGUUUCACCUUACUUCAUCAUUUUCCAUGCCAUUUUCCUUGAAAUAAAAACAAUCCCCCAUUGAUAUUCAGCCCUCAUGGUUCGGCCAACAAGGAACCCUAGAGAAAUUGAAUAUUUCUUUUGUGUUUUUGUUCAUAACCAUGCUUAACUAUCCCUAAACACUAACAUAGUCUAAAAUCAAAUUAUUCCAACAACAAUUCCUCUUCCAUACCCAUUUUUCAGAAUUGAAUUCAUCAUGAUAACUCAAUAUUCAACCAUGGAAAUCAAGAACAAAAGCAUGGGUAAGCUAGGUAUCAAGGAGAAUUAAAGAAAUUUUAACUUACCUAGCUUGUUUCCUUGAUUUCUUCACUUUUUCUUUGAAUUUCCACCUAGGUUUUCUUGUUUUUCCUUUUGUUCUUCCUUUUUUCUUGUUGCUGGAUGCCUAGGCCGAAUAUGGUGAGGGAAUUGGGGAUUUAAUGGGCUGAUUUCUAUAGAAAAUAAUAAAAUAAUCAAGCAUGCCAUGUGUCACAUGCUUAUUGGCCCAAUUUUUAACUUUUUGACUUUUUCUUCUUAAUUUUCCACCACAAAUAUUCUGGUAUUUAUCCAAUCCUACCACAAUUAAAAUCCCUUGGUCUUGACAAGUGCUGGGGCGAAAAAUUUACUGAUUUGCCCCCGAGACAAAAAAAUUACGAUUUUGCCCUUAUACUCCGAAAUGUACCGGAAUCUCAUUAUUUCUACUUUUCAACCUAAAAUAACACUAAUAUUGAUCAAUAUUAACCAAAUGGGGCAAAAAUUGUUUAAAAAAAUUUUCGUUUAGUCCUCUAGUGGCAAAAUUACCAUUUUGCCCUUCUGCUCCAUAAAUACCGGGAAUCACAAUUUUUCACUACUAAACAUCAUUUUAUACUCCAAUAAUCAUAAUUAUAUUUCAUAUAAUUAUUCUUGGUCAAAUGUGAUCAAAUCUUGGCUAAAAAUCUCCAUUUUAUCAUCAAAUGGUAAAAUGACCGUUUUGUCCCUAAUUGGUCAAUUUUCUGAUGGACUCCAAACUGGACCUUGAACUCCAAAUCACUAUUCUAAGCCAUUCUGUUGGUUUUAAAAUUUUCAAAUUCCUCUUAGAAUUUCUAUUUGAACUAGUUCAAGGCUCGAUUUAACUUAGUUGUACCACUCAAUACAAUACCGUCUUUUAAUCGAGCUUGACAGGGUCUCACAAAAACUUUAUUGGUGCUUAUGUCUAUCACUUCACAUUUGGUUGAGUCAAAACAUACCUUAAAACCUUUAUCACACAAUUGACUAAUACUCAAUAAAUUAUGUUUCAAACCUUUAACUAACAACACAUGGCUAAUUUGAGCUUGAGAGUUCUUACCAAUCGUUCCUAUGCCAUGAAGUCUACCUUUUGAAUCAACACCAAAGGAUACGAUGCCUUUCUUUUUCUUAUUCAGCUUAGCAAAGAGCAUUUCAUUCCCGGUCAUGUGCCUUUAGCAUCCACUGUCCAUAUACCAAGGUUGUUUUUCCUUUAGUUGAGCUCUUGAAUAUGUGUCUUUUAGUUUCGACUUAACCUACAAAACAAAUUUUCAGUUCUUCUUAAUAAGUACACAUACUUUGAUGGGUCCUUUAGGGUUAAUAGCAAUGUAGGAUCUUUUGGAACAAAAAUCAUUUUUGUUUUCUAUGUGUUUCUUCUUCUAUAGCAAUUGUAAGAUAAAUAACCAAGUUUAUCACAAACAUAGAAUCUAGGGGAAAAGUCAUUUGCAUUUCUUCUAAAAUUUGUGCUCUUUUUUUUAUGAUUCCUUACUUAAAUUCUUAAGAGCAACAUUUUAAUCUAUUGCCUUUUGCAAAGCUUCAGUUCUAUUGUCCAGCUCCAAUUUCAUAACUUCAAAAUUUGUUUUUGAAUGUUCUAGUUCAAUUUGCAAAAAAUUUCUUUGCUCAAAUACAGAGUUGAAAUCAUGUAUUAUCUUUUGCAAAUCAAUCUCAAGAAAUGCAGUUUUUCUUUUCAAAGUUUUAUAUUUUGAUGCAAGUUUUUCAAACUCAUCAUAGAGACAUUCAUACUCUUAUUGCAAUUCAUCAAAGGAAAUAUCACAGAGGGCAAAAGAUAUCUCAGAUUCAUUAUCUCUGGCCAUUAAACACAGGUUUGUUCUUUCUUCCAUUUUCUCAUUUAAUAAGUCUUCAAAUUUUAUCUUUAACUCUUCAAGAGCCAUGAAGCAUAAUUCAAUUCGAUUUGAGGAUUCAUCUUCACUUGAUUCCUUGUCUCCAUUUACCAUGUUGCUUGUUGAGAAUUGAUUCUUGCAAGAGUUGUCUUCCAAUUCCUUUUCCAUAUUUGUUUCUCCAUAUAACUCUUCUAAUUUUUGUCAAAUUUUCUUAGCACUUUUGCACAUAAACACUUUAUCAUAUUCUCUAUAAUCAAGUGCACAAAUGAGAGUAUGCAUGGCCUUAAAGUCGAUUUGUAUUCUCCUUAUUUCAGCUUCUGUUCACUCGAACCUUGGCUUAGGAAUUAGCUCAUUGGUUACAACAUUUAAUGUUGAAAGAAUGAAGGGACCAUCGGUUAUGACAUUCCAAAUCUCAUAAUCUAUAGCUCUAAUGUAUAUUCACAUCCUUGUACUCCAAUAUGGGUAAUUUGAGCCAUUAAACAGAGGUGGUCUGUUUGUGGACUGUCCCUUAACAACUAUAGAUUUUUGAAGAGCCAUUUGGAUUUUCUCAAGGGUGUUAGACCUUAAUAAUAGGGGUUAGGCUCUGAUACCACUUGUUGGUUUUAAGUAAAUGUGCUAGAGGGGGGGGGGGGUGAAUAGCACUUUUUGGCUCUUGGCAAGAUGAGGAACUAAUUUAAAAAGCAAUGAAAACAAAAACAGGGUAGACAAUGCGCAGGAAUUUAGAAUGGUUCGGUCCAAGACCUACAUCCACUACUUUGAUUAUUCAACUAAGGAUUUUUCAAACUAAUCCAUUAUGAACCAAUGAAAUUCACAAGCUUUUACCAAGCUUUUACAAUGGCUUUUACCAAGUUUAGCCAAAACUUUUCACAAUAAUUUUUACCGGGAUCAACUAAAACUCAAAGUGAUUUUUUAAAGGCUCAACCACAACCUUUCACAAUAGUUUUUCACGGGCUUAACCAAAACCCAAAGUAGUUUUUCAAAGGUUCAACCAUAACCUACAAUAAUGGUUUUUCACGGGAUCAACCAAAAUCAACAACUAACUUUUCAAGGCUAAGUUAGAACCUAUACACUCAAUCAAGCAAUCCAAGCUUGAAUAAAUCCCUUAGAAUGACUCGUUCACUCUAAGAAUACAAGGAGAGAAGUGAUAAAAGUGUACCUAUGAUCAUAAGGUUAAUCUAAGUGGUACAAAGUGAAGUGCAUAUCACAAUUACAAAGAUAGAAGUUGAGUGCAGUAAAUGAGCAGAGAGUAUUUGUAGGUUUUUCAGCUCUUUUGUGUUUUUGGAAGCCUUCAUUCUAUUUUUCUAGCCGUUGAAAGUCCUUUUAUACUUGAAAGAUCAACUCUAAUGUGAGUUAGAUAGUUUUUGACCGUUGGAAACAGUUUGGUAGCAGUUCUGGCUGUUAAUCUGUCUUCUAGUGCACAAUUCAAAUUUUUUAGCAAAAUGCUUUUAGUCGACUAACUUAUGUCUUAAUCGUUUAAGUUGUCUCUAUUUUCUGUUUCAGUAUUUGGUAGUGAACACUUAGUCGACUAACAUAUUUCUUGGUUGACUAAGUUGGUUCUGUCUUUCAAUACUCUUCAGGCCGUCAACUUCUAGUUUGAAUUUUAGCAGACUAACUCUUCAUUAAUUAGCUAAGGGGCUUCUGUCUUAUUGAUCAAUUGUGACUUCCUUAUUCUAUGCUCUUUGAUAUGUGCAUUUGAAUGAUUUAUUAAUUUUUACAUACAAUAUUUGUCUUGCACAUUCAAGUAGAGAUAUUAGACACAAAUGAAUGGGAGUGUUUUAUUAUCAUCAAAAACUAAUGGAGCCAACAUAUCGUGUAACAGCAUUUGAUGUUAUAUGCAUGGCGUGUAAUAACAUGACUAACAAAUUCUAGAACACGGCAUGUCAUGUAAUGUGUUAAAUGAUUGACAAAUUUUUUUUGUUUUUAAAAUUUCAAUGGGGUUCCAAUUGUGCGACUUGUGAUAAAACAUGAUGGUCAGUGGGUAGAUAGCAAUUGCAAGGGUGGUGAGUCACGAAUGCAUGGGGUUAUGAGUGAUUUGUCGUUUGUGGGCUUGAUGAAGUUGGUUGAAGAUGUUGUUGGGGUAAGCUCAGAAAUUGACGAGAUUAAGUUACAUGCAUUGAUCAGUACACCCGGAGAGCUAUCACGACCAAUUAUCAAGGACAAUAAAGAUGUUGCAUUAAUUCUACUAGAACAGAGGAAUGUUUCAACUGUGUAUUUUAGCAUUAAGGGAUGCCAAACAAAUGUUAUGUCACUUGAAGAAACUGAACAACAUGGUAAUUAGCUCACUCAAAAUGAGAUUUAGAAUGCUUCACAUAUACCAUAGCAUUCGGUUCGUAACCCACAACAAUUGCAAUUGACGUAUGCACAAGAGUUUGUGCAUCCCGAUAGACACACGAUAUUCACAGAACAGUUGGCUGCACAAUUUCGAUUAGGAUAUGCAUCAAACCAAAUAGUUACUUCUAUCCAACAAAUGCAACGAUCGGGUGAAACUAUACAAGGUGUAACGGCAUUUUCAAAUAAGAAUACGACACUUAAGGACAACACUGCAACGUUAAAGGGUGACACUGCGACGCUCGAGGAUAAUACUGCAUCUGAUGAGGGAAAUGAAGAUUUGUUCCCUGCCAGUGAAGAUAGAUUUGGUGACAAUUCAAAUGAUGGGCUUGAUGAAUGGCAUGAUGAGAGUUCAGACGAUGACUAGCCUUAUGACAGUGACAUUCCAAUUUGCAAUAAUGUUGAAGGCGAAAUGGAACCUAUUAGAGGUGUUGAUGUAGGAGAUGUUCAGUGUGAUGACUCCAUAUACAAUAACCCCAUCGCUGAUGAGAACAGGAUUCAUUCCCUUGAUACAUUGCUCCAUUAUAGUUAUCAGGAAAGAGGAAAUGCAGGGAUAUUUCAUACGUGGGUAAUUCCAUGUGCAAAAAGGUUCUUCGAAAUAAUUACAACUAAGGAGUCGACAUGUGUCGAUGAUCGCUUAUACAAAGGAAGAAUAUUUUCCUCGAAGGUUGAGUUGAAAUGAGUUUUGAACAUGUUGACUCUAAAAGAGUAGUUUGGGAUAAGAGUAAAAAGGUCAUGUAAAGGUCGUUAUGAGGUUGGUUGUAAGGACAAGGCAUGCAAGUUCAGUGUGCGUGCAACGAAGUUACCUGAAUGAGGAGAAUAUUGGCAAGUUCAGACAUUGCACAAAGUACACACGUGUACUGUCGAUGGUUUGCAAGGGCGAUUUACAGCCGCAAGUGCGAAGAUAAUUGGUGAACGUAUGUCACACAAGCUUCAGGCUAAUAGAGUAGCAUUGAGACCUAAGGACAUAAUUGGUGAGAUGAGGGUUCUGUGGGGAUUGGAAUGCUUGUAUGGUAAGGCCUGGCAAGUGAAGGAGUAUAAGGAAAGGCUUGUUUUUGGUCCCCUAGAGGAGCCAUUUCAACUACUACCCUUGUAUUUUUAUAUGUUGGAACAAGAAAAUCCCGGCACAUUCACUGCAGUGACUAUUGAUGAGGCAAAAAGAUUCAAUAUUGUUUCUGGUCAUACGAGGCUUGUAUUCGAGGGUUUAGGGAUGUAAUGCAUCCUGUGGUUGCAAUUGAUGCGACACAUUUGAAAGACAGGUUCAAGGGUGUUCUGUUUGUCGCUGUAUGCAAAGAUAUGAAUGAGUGAGUAUAUCCAGUUGCGUUUGGCAUCAGCCAUGUUGAGGACGAAGACUCGUGGACGUGGUUUCUUAGCAAGCUGUGUGAUGCGGUUGGUUGUCCUGAAAGCACUAUGUUCAUUUUUAAUCAGCUUCUCGGUGUUAAGAAAGCAAUCUAAAAUGCAUACCUAGAAGCGCACCAUGGUUUAUGUGGUUACUACUUGAAGAAAAACUUUAAAGACAAGUUCAAGCGUGACAACGUUUCUAUGAUUUUCACCCUUGCUCGAGAUUGUUAUAAGGUUUUCGAUUUCAACAGACACACGAACCAACUCAAGCAGAUUCACGCGGAAGCCCAUGCGGACCUCAUGAGAAUAGGCCUUGAGAGAUGGGCACGUGCAUGCUCAUCAGCAAGGGGAUACCAAAUGAUGGCAUCCGACAUUGCGGAAUGUGUUAACUUAUGCUUGAAGCAUGCAAGACAAAUGCCAAUCACUGUUUUGAUCGAGUUCAUCAAAGACAUGUUCCAGCGUUAGUUCCAUGAUCGAUACGAAGAGGCCGUCAAGGUGACCACUCCCCUCAGCCCUUAGGUUGCUAAGAAAUUGAGCAAACGAUUCAACGAUGCACAUAGCUUUGUGGUUAAACCUAUCAAUCGAGUGCAAAGACGGUGUGAGACCCUGUCAAGCUCGAUUAAAAGAUGGUAUUGUACUGAGUGGUACAACUAAGUUAAAUCAAGCCUUGAACUAGUUCAAAUAGAAAUUCUAAGAGGAAAUUGAAAAUUUUGAAACCCACAUAAUGACUUAGAAUAGUGAUUCGGAGUUCAAAGUCCAGUUUGGAGUCCAUCCGGAAAAUUGACCGAUUAGGGACAAAACGAUCAUUUUACCAUUUGAUGAUUAAAUGGAAAUUUCUAGCCAAAAUUUGAUCACAUUUUACCAAGAAUAAUUAUAUGAAAUAUAAUUAUGAUUAUUGGAGUAUUAAAUGAUGUUUAGUAGUGAAAAAUUAUGAUUCCUGGUAUUUUUGGAGUACAAGGGCAAAAUGGUAAUUUUACCACUAGAGGACUAAACGAAAAUUUUUAAAAAAUGAUUUUUUUACCCCAUUUGGUUAAUAUUGAUCAAUAUUAGUGUUAUUUGAGGUUGAAAAGUAGAAAUAAUGUGAUUCCGGUACAUUUCGGAGUAUAGAGGUAAAAUCGUAAUUUUUUCACCUCAGGGGUAUAUCGGUAAAUUUUUUACCCCAGCACUUGUCAAGACCAAGGGAUUUUAAAUGUGGUAGGAUUGGAUAAAUACCAGAAUAAUUGUGGUGGAAAAUUAAGAAGAAAAAGUCAAAAAGUUAAAAAUUGGGCCAAUAAGCAUGUGACACGUGGCAUGCUUGAUUAUUUUAUUAUUUUCUAUAGAAAUCAGCCCAUUAAAUCCCCAAUUCUCUCACCAUAAUCGGCCUAGACAACCAGCAACAAGAAAAAAGGAAGAACAAAGGGAAAAACAAGAAAACCUAGGUGGAAAUUCAAAGAAAAAGUGAAGAAAUCAAGGAAACAAGCUAGGUAAGUUAAAAUUUCUUUAAUUCUCCUUGAUACCUAGCUUACCCAUGCUUUUGUUCUUGAUUUCCAUGGUUGAAUAUUGAGUUAUCAUGAUGAAUUCAAUUCUGAAAAAUGGGUAUGGAAGAGGAAUUGUUGUUGGAAUAAUUUGAUUUUAGACUAUGUUAGUGUUUAGGGAUAGUUAAGCAUGGUUAUGAACAAAAACACAAAAGAAAUAUUCAAUUUCUCUAGGGUUCCUUGUUGGCCGAACCAUGAGGGCUGAAUAUCAAUGGGGGAUUGUUUUUAUUUCAAGGAAAAUGGCAUGAAAAAUGAUGAAUUAAGGUGAAAUGGUUAUGUAGAAAAAAAUUCGAUGCUAGUGCACCAAAUGACCAAAUUUUUCUAUAAGGAACUGUGAGGGUUCUAAUGCUGAAUUUGGCUUUAUUUAAAUGUAUGUGGUAAAUUAAGGUAUUAGAGGAGAAAUGAAUUAAUUUGGAGGUGAUUUGGACACAAUCGCCGAUUAAUCGGGUGAUCGGUCGAAUUUAAUCGAUACCGUGAUUAAGCGGUAAUCGGACAUAUUUUUGCAUUUACAUAUCAAGCAUUAGUAGUUUAAAUUAAUUUAUAUCAAUUUAGGGACAAUAUAGUAAAUUCCUCGACUUUGUUAUUUGUCAAGGUGGUGAGACGUCCGGAAAAGGCAAAGGAAUUGCGCUUGAGGACUAUUAGUCAGAGUUCACCCGGAAUCCGGAUUUUCGACACCUGUGAGUGGACUGCCUAUCAAAAUUGUUUUGGGAAUAUGACUGUUUUGAACAAAGUGUUUGAAUGAUUUUAUGCAAUUUUUCAUGAAAAUGAAUGCCUUGGGAACAAGCUUUUGAGAAAAGGUUUAUGUUAUGAAAUGUGGUUAUUAUGGAUUUCUUUGUGGCUGCAUUAUGUUGAUAUACAUAUAUGCUUGAAUAUAAUGUUGUGUAAUUAUGUUGACUCGGCUAUGUGCGAGUAGGGAGUGCGCAUAAGCCAAGGAUGACCCGGUUAUGUGCCAGUAGGGAGUGCACAUGACCUGGUGAUGACCCUGUUAUGUGCUAGUAGGGAGUGCGCAUAACCCGGUGAUGACCCAGCCAUGUGCGAGUAGGGAGUGCGCAUGAGCUGGUGAUGAUGAUGAUGAGUUGGUGAUGAUGAUGAUGGGUAUAUACGUAUAUAUAUAUACAUAUGUAAAUAUGUGUGUUAUAGCAAAUUGAUGGACAAUGAUUUAUGGUUGUAAUGUACAUGAAAUUUGACACAUUGUACUUUGAGAAUUUUCAUGAAUUUUAUGUUGAUUUUAUUAGUUUAGCAGGAUGGCUUUUUGUUGAGUGAGGAAAAAUGUUUCUCUUGUUGCUCCGUUUUCGUUGUAGCGAAAUUCAUGCUCGUUGUAGCUAGAAACUCUCGGGUUUGGAGGGGUUUUAAAUAGGAAUGAACUAAAUUGCAUUGUUUUGAAACAAGUGCAUCAUGAUUUAAAAUUCUCCCUAAUUGUUGCUUGUUCCCUUUUUUGUUCACUCACUGGGUUUAUACUCAACAGUUUCAAAUUCAUGUUUUUAGAUCACGAGACAGCCGAUAAUUAGGACGAGGUGUCCUUGUAGACUUGUGUCCAUCUUUUGGUAGGUGUCUCGGCAUUCGGUAGCUGUAUAUUCAUUUGAGUCCCUCCGCUGAAAGUCGAGUAUUAUUUUGUUAUGUAUAGAUGAACUUAAUGUAAAUUUUAAAUGAGUAAUGCCAGUACGAGUUGGCAAUGUAUAUCACUAUUUUGAUUCAAAGUUAUGAAAUAUGACUUAGUGAUAAUAGAUGAAAUUAUGAGUAAGAUAAAUAAUAGGCUUGCUUGGGUUUAGUGGAUUACGUCCAUUGGACUCAUGCGCCGGUCAUGGCCCGAAAUUUGGGUCGUGACAAACGGGAAGAUGGACGAACUUGUAAACCUGUCCAAGAAGAAUUGUUCAUAUUGUGAGUUCUAAACAGAUUUACUGUCAUGCAGCCAUUUCAUUGUAGCAAUAAGGUCAGAAUAUCUUUAUUUCUUAUUUGAACCCUAAGUGACAUAGUAUUUACAUUGUGCUUGAACAUUGAGUUCAUUGUAUUUUUCAGUAAAUGCAAACGUGAAACCAUUAAAUUUUGCGCUAACUACUACAAGACAACCAUUUUGGUGGAGGGUUAUGUGGGGUCUAUUCACCCGGUAAGGCAUCUUAGUGAGUGGGACAUCCCCCCUCAUGUGAAACAAAUUAUUGUCUUGCCACCACCUUGGCGAGGCUAAGCGGCAAGACCUAAGAGGAGAAGGAUUCCAUCGGCCGGUGAAGGCAGUCGAGCAUGGAGAUGUUCACAAUGCAAGAGGUACGAGCAUAACAGACAGAAUUGCCCAUCCCCAUUUGUAGUUCCAUCCACAAAUCCGGUGCCAUCUCCAAGUCAAUCGACGCCUCCACGAGUGCAUCGACCGAAAGCAUUUUCACGUUGUAAACAAAUAGGUCACACAUGCAACAACUGUCCAAUACAAAAGACAAUGUCUGAAAACGUAAGGUGUCUUGUGGAUAAAGACAGCUUGUCGGCCUAACUAAAUGUGUAGCCCAUGUGCAAUACCUUUGUGACAAUUUGCUCUUGCAGUAUCUUACAUUCAUUCAUAUUUGGAUUUUGUGUUUAUUAGUUUCCUCCUGUAGAUGAGUUUUUUUUUUAUUAAUUUUGUAGAUAUAUUAUUUGAUUAUUCAUUUCAUUUUGUCUGUAGUUUUGAACACUGAAUAGACUUGCGAAGUCCUUAUACUAUUACCCCCUUUCUCACAUUUUAUUACCACUUGUACUAAAUAAUUAAGGAUUUAAUUAAAUUCCUUUCUAUUUCAUUUGAUUUAACUUUUUAUAUUCUUAUAAUCAAAUCUCCUAAGAGAUAUAAAAUUAAUUCAUAUAACUUUAGUAGCUUUCUAAAUCCUAAUAUUCAAUUUCUUUUUAUAAUUUUUUAAUUACAACGUUUAUUUUAUCUUAUUAAUAUCUCCAUAUAAAACUUUAAGCCAAUUACUUAACAAAAUAAUAAUAAUAAUGUACCAAUGGAGUUUACUUUAGAUGAUGCAAGUAUAGAAAGAGAAAAGUUUCGACUAAUUCAAAACAUAUCAUAUGAAAUUUAAGAUUAAAACACAUUAUUUGACCAAGUAAAUUUUAAAAAUUUAUGGAUCAUCCAAUCAAAUUUCAUCUAUGAAUCAUCAUAAUUAUUUUUUAUUAAAUUAAAACAUUUUAAAAAUAAAAUUGAAAUAUAAGGACGAAAAUGAACCAAAAAAUUUAUUAUGCUGAGCUAAUAAAAGAAAUGCAUCGUGGCAAUUUUGAUCAUCGGGUGUGGGAAUUGAGAUUAGACUGUAAUUGGUAGAUGUCAAUGAAAUCUUGUGGUGACACACUGAGUGGAAGCAGAUACUUGGCGUGACAUGUUGACUGCAUGCAGAUUUCUGUGGUGACACGCUGACUUCUUGCAGUAUUGUGGGGUGACACUGCACUCCCCAAUUGUGGUGACACACUAAGUGGAAGCGGAUACUUGGCGUGACACGCUGAGUGCAUGCAGAUUUCUGUGGUGACAUGUUGACUUCUUGCAGUAUUGUGGAGUGACAUGACAUGCCCCAGUUGUGGUGACAUGCUGAGUGCAUGCAGAUUUCUGGCGUGACAUGCUGACUUCUUGCAAUAUUGUAGGGUGACACAGCACACCCCAAUUGUGGUGACACGCUGAGUGGAAGCUGAUACUUUGCGUGACAUGCUAACUUGUUCCAGUAUUCAGGGGUGACACGCCACAUGGUUGCAGUAUUAAUUUAAAGGCACUGUGUUAAUUGUAUAUACAAAAAAAAUGUACAAACAAGGGUCGAUAUGUUUAGGGUUCGCUCUCACAACUAUUGGAAAAAAUUUCUAGAGUGUAUUGGCGACGCACAUUUGCAAUCAUAUUCUGUUUAACUCUAAUCGAUUCUAAUGACAAAAUAUCGUCAAUGUACUCUAUCAUGAAUAUAUCGCAGCUGACACUAUCAUUCUGCCGAUGCACUUUAGCUUUUUGCAAAUAAAUUUUCAAUGGCAUCGGCGUCAAAUCUCAUGUCUUUCGGCAUGUUUUGUUGAAAUAAAUGGCUUGGUGGCAGAUGAUUGGCAUAAUUGUCGUAAGGGGUCAUCUGAGCCGCACGCACUCCGUUAUCCUUAGCAUCUGAAGUUCUUGCGAAGUCCACCACCUUGAUCGUCCACCUCACAAAGUAGAUCUUCGCUACCACCCAAUUCCCACCCACAUUGCAAGGUGCAAGGAUGAAAUCGACAUCUUCCCAUUUUUUACCAAAUGUCGACUUCUCACCCUCCACGUACCCCCGCAACUCAUCUGGAAUUUUCAUAGUGGGCCGAGCAUCUUCAGCUGGAAAUGCGGUGUGUAGCAUAUGGAUGGUGUCCUGUGAAGCAUGUAUACAUUAGCUUACACUUAAUGCAAUCAAAAACUUAGUAUUUUCAGAAUUAAAAAAUUUUCAAAUAAACUUAUGAAGAAUAUCGUGUCAACGACUCAUGCACGGGUAGUGUACAGCUUCAACUUCGACCCUGUCAUCCGCUUAUAAAGUACGCUAAGGCAUGCGUCUAUUUGUCCACUAGUCAUUUCUUCUUUAGGAUCCUCUAAUGUUGUAAAAAAUCAGCCCCUUGAUAUCUUAAGAUCUUGACGUUACGCCUAUAUAUGUAAUAGAAUGAGUUUGAAAAGCCUUUGUGGAUUAAUGUUUCAUUAAAAAAAAAUAUUUGCAAAUGUUAUUUAUGAGCUUACCUUGCACACUCGUCUUUCUUGAAAGCUUCAUACGCUUCCACCAUUUAGUUCUUUUGAUCUUGAUGGCUCAAUGAGGGGUCGACGUACGGCCUUGCCAUGUAUUUACUCCCCAUUUUAACCCGUGCCCGCUCAGUUGGGUUUGAAAUUUGUGCUGCAUGAUGAUGGACAUCAGACGACUCUGGUGAUGACAAUCGUGACCUGCUGGCUUCAGGAGUGCUAUGAGGAAGAUGGUCCCCUUCAGCCUGAAGUGAUGCAAGGUUCCCAUCCCCUCUUACUGUUGCCUCGACUAAUGCAUCAGCCUCAAGAAGAUGCUCUAUUUUAGCCAUGACCGAGUGAAGGUCCCCCUACCCUCUCGCAAAUGGAUCGAUAACCAAAUCAGCCUCAAGAACAUGGUCUCCUUCAACAUCAUCUGAUUGAAGGGUCACAUCUCCUGCCACAACAUCAUCUUCGUCAGCACCAAUAAUGUCAUCGUGAAUGUGAAUACCAGGUUCAUCAUGCUGCCCAUCAUCAGCAUCAUCGUGGUCCUCACCAACAUCAUGAAAUGAAGGACCGCCUUAUAGAACGAGACAAAUGGGAAAAUCCGUUAGCUCAUAAAAUACCACAAACCAUAAACCGAGAACAAAAAAUAGAACUACACUUAUUAAACGUAAACGACCAAUAUAUGAGCGAAGAUAGAAUAAUGUACUUGUGAUUUCAGACCCUCUAGAAUCCGAGCAACGACACGAUCCUCAAAUGUCUACAUUGCUAGAGUCAAUGACUGAAUUGAAACCUUCAGCUCCGACAUGUCUUUUUUAUGCCGGUGCAUGAUCCGUCGUAGCUGACACUUCGUGACUGCUUCGUCAUUGACUCUAAUCGAAUGGGUCAACUGCAAUAACAUAUAAUACUGUGUUAUUCAAUAAUCAUAUAUCGAAUUGUUGAACAUUACUCGUUAGAAUUUUCAUAUCCUUAUCGGCUGCUCGUUACCACUGUGCGGUUGAGCAAGACCAAUCGGUGGUUGAGUAGCUGCCAUUACCUCCCUCAACUGCAAUGACAGAAAUUACUAUGUUACUCGAUAAACAUAUGUAGAAAUGUUGAACACAAACCGUUACAACAGAUCUUACCAGUGGCUUGUUAGCAUUAUGCGUCUGAAGAAGACCUCUCGAUGGUUGAAGAGAUGUCAUCGCAUGGUCCAACUACAAAUAUAGAUAUGUUAUUCGAUAAUCACAUAUGAAAUUGUUGAACACAAACCGUUAGAACCGUCCUUACCGGCUGUUCAUUGUCAUUGCCAUGGUCAUCCCCUUCUUCCAUCAACUUAGGGCCCGACAGCUCAUCCACUAAAGCAACGACUUUGUGCCUCCGUUUCAUGGCACCAGUGGCUCUUUUCUCCUUUAAGUUUCUCCUCUUUUGCCUCGCACCUAAGCCCUAGUCCACCCGAUCCUCCAUGUGCCCUCAGAUAACGGGACAUCAAUGUCCACAAAAUACUCCCAGCUGGCCUCAUUCAGGGUGGGCUCCAAGGUUUUGAUUGCCCACAAUUGGAAAAUAGCGAUUGCGAUUAAAUUUUAGGAAAAAUUAUUAUACAAAUGCACAGUAGAAAUUAGUAGCUAUUCACUCACAUGCUGAGAUGACUCCAACUUCUUAAUUGCUUUAUAGAAGUCUUUCAGCUUCUGAUUGUAUUGCCAUUUGCAUAUACGUGGAUAGACGUUGUCCUUCGGAGCAUAGGGGGCAACUAUUUUUUAGAAGGCAGGAAUUGCUUCCAUGCCCAAAACUACAAGUGAAAUGUAACAUUAUCAGACUGUAAAUGAUAAACGAGUGCAACCAUAAAUUUUUAUGUCAAAAGGAAACUGAUAACAUUUACGUGACAAUACCUGUAUCACCCACGUGAAUCCAUAAAUGUUGUAGCGUAAACGAGUAGCCUUUUGCAAGUUUGAGGCAAGCACUUUGACCCCUUCAAAAGGUAGUCCUCGGUUAGCCUCCAAACAUAGUGACCCCAUGGGAAGGCAUUUUAAGCGUCGAUGUCCUCCACCAAUAACAAUAGCCAAGGCAUCACUUGUCUACGAUAGUAUUGACCAAAUAAAAUGUUAUUCGUAAUCAAAACAAGUGCCAUCUUGGUCGCAUCGCUUGGUCGAUGAAAGUUGCCUCCGCGGAACGUGUCAAGCAACUCCUGCAGCUUAACGCUCUGCUGCCCAUUCCAGUACUCGCAUGAAUUUUGUCCGCAAAACCUCGUACGGUCGUUUGAACAAAUCGGGCAUUGGACUAAACUUCAGUUCAGUGAUAAGGCAGAACUCCUGCUUUGAUAUCCGCACCUUGCUCUUGCCAAUGGCAAACCAUAGCUCGUGCUCUAUUGACUCUCUUUCAUUGAUUCGACGAAUCAUGAUGUUAUGUAGGAAAUCAGCGCAAAAGUAGCCUUGUGGAUAUACGUCUAAUAGCAUUCUGAAACAUGUACGCUUGACUGCAUCGUACUCCCCUUUCUCUUAGAGAGUGUUGUUGAUGUAAUGCAGUUGCGACCACUUACAGUGGGUGUUGACAGCGAUAUUGAACGCCCAUUUCUCCCUCGACAUAAGAAGCAAACUAGUAAGAUCCUCAUAUUGGGAUUGCAUAUGCAAAACAUGGCACACAUGCAAGAGUGAGUUAACCCAUAAUGUGCAACAAGGUAUACUGAAGAAAGAAAUAAAUAUUGUUACACGCCAUGCAUAUCAAGUAAAAUGUUGUUACAUGAUAUGCAUAUCAAGUCAAAUGACAUGACACACCAUGCAUAUCAAUGUCGUGACACACCAACCAUGGCAUCUCGUGACACACCAACCAUGGCGUCUCAUGACACGCCAAUCACUAUAAUUACUAACUUGUUACACGAACAACCGUGACAUGCUAAAAAGCCAAAAAAUCAGUUAACCCACAAUACCCCAUAUGCAGUCGUGACACGCUAAAAACCUAAAAAACCAGUUAACCCACAACACGCCACAAACAACCGUGACACGUUAAAAACCCAAAAAACCCGUUAACCCACAACACGCCACGAAUAGCCGUGACACGCUAAAAACCCAAAAAACUAGUUAACCCACAGCAUGCCAUAUGUAGCCGUGAUACACUAAAAACCCAAAAAACUAGUAAACCCACAACAUGCCAUAUGCAAAUGUGGACCCCCUUCAACAUUUUGGUACGACCAAAAAACUAGGAAGAAAACAAUUUAAGCAAAGCAUAACAAUUGCAAAAAACACCAACAUAUCAAACCAACCCAGCAAAAAAUCAACAAACAGAAGAAAGUUUUAAUUUUAGACUGAUUGACCUCUUUACUGAUAACUGACAUUAUUGUUGUGAUGUAGUUAAGCUUGCAAAGAACGAAGUCGAACUCUCUGCUACCUUUUGGAAUGAGGAAUGAAUGAAACUCUCUUACUUCCUUCACACAGAUGUUUGCAAUUUCAUAAAAAUAUUUAAUUAAAAUGAAAUGGUAUUUUAUAUUCAUUUCAUUCAUUCAGUGGAAGUCCAAACGGUUUCCUCGUUAUUUGCCCGCCUUCUUUCAGACCAUGGCAUGUCACAUAUUCAACCCAUGGUGUGUCACAUGUUCAAGCCAUGCCGUGUCACACGUUCUGACCAUGGCCUAUCACACACUCUAAACCCUGCCGUGUCACACCCGUGACACAUAUUCUCACCGUGCUGUCUCACACAUUAUCACCCUGUCGUGUCACAGAUUCCCUCCAUGGCGUGUAACACACUCUAAACCCUAUCAUGUCACAGUUGUGUUACAUAUUCUCACCAUGACAUGUCACAUAUUCCCACCAUGUCGUGUCACAAACUCUAUACCCUGCCGUGUUAUAGCCGUAUCACAUAUUCUCACUAUGACAUGUCACACAUUCCUAUCAUGUCAUGUCACACAUUUUCACCAUGCCGUUUCACAAACUCUAAACCCUACCGUCACACAGAGGUGUCACAUAUGGCCUGCUGUAGCACGACCAUUUCCUGCUUCGGAUUCACAUCUUUCUCUUUUCGAUUCACCACCGUAUCAGGUAUUUCUGGUUUCACAUCAUUCUCCAAGCUUUCGAUUCAUCAUGAUUGGUUUCUCGUUCAGUUUAAUAUCACUCUUCUCCUAUUAUCUGAUUGCCAUGUUCGAAAUAUCUGAAAAACCAUCUCAUGCAACAUUAUUUUAUUUUGCACAAACUUCGCGAAAAAAAUAAUGGAUGUUUUGCAUAAAAUUAGAUGUUCGUAAAUUCUUUGCAUAUUUAUUUUUUCAUUUUCUGCCUGUUUAAGAGUACGUGUCAACGAAAAUGGCUCAUUAAGGGCAUUUUUGCCUCAAAAUCUAUUCUCGUGAUUAAAAACAGUUAAAAUUAUCUGAAAGCAUAUUUUCAAAAACACAUUAUUUUUA
rnacentral:lncRNA from 1 species